UUUAAAACACAAACAACUAGUUCAUUGAAAUGAUAACUUGUUUAGUACACAAACAAGAUCUUACUUAAUACAUAGAAAUAAGAUCUUACGGAACAUAGAGAUUAAAAACAUAGGAACAACAUGAAAAGUUUUUAAAAUGACAUAGAUAUUGAUUAACAAAGAUAUGAACUAGUUUCGGGUAUUUUUUAACCAUCCAUCAAGGUAAACUUGUUUGGAGUCAGGGGUGGAUUUUGGUCUAAUAUCUUUCAACCAUCCAUCAAGGUAAACUUGGUUGGAAUCAGAGGAGGAUUUUGCUUUUUCAGCUCGAGUGUCUUUCAACCAACCAUCAAGAUAAACUUGUUUGGGAUCAGAGGUGGAUUUUGUUUUCUCUGCUCGAGUAUCUUUCAACCACCCAUCAAGGUAUACUUGGUUGGAGUCAGGGGUAGAUUUUGUUCUCUCGUUUCGAAUAUCUUUCAACCAUCCAUCAAGGUAAACUUGGUUGGAAUCAGAGGAGGAUUUUUCUUUUUCAGCUCGAGUGUCUUUCAACCAACCAUCAAGAUAAACUUGUUUGGGAUCAGAGGUGGAUUUUGUUUUCUCUACUCGGGUAUCUUUCAACCACCCAUCAAGGUAUACUUGGUUGGAGUUAGGGGUAGAUUUUGUUCUCUCGUUUCGAAUAUCUUUCAACCAUCCAUCAAGGUAAACUUGGUUGGAGUCAGAGGAGGAUUUUUCUUUUUCAGCUCGAGUGUCUUUCAACCAACCAUCAAGAUAAACUUGUUUGGGAUCAGAGGUGGAUUUUGUUUUCUCUACUCGGGUAUCUUUCAACCACCCAUCAAGGUAUACUUGGUUGGAGUCAGGGGUAGAUUUUGUUCUCUCGUUUCGAAUAUCUUUCAACCAUCCAUCAAGGUAAACUUGGUUGGAGUCAGAGGAGGAUUUUUCUUUUUCAGCUCGAGUGUCUUUCAACCAACCAUCAAGAUAAACUUGUUUGGGAUCAGAGGUGGAUUUUGUUUUCUCUACUCGGGUAUCUUUCAACCACCCAUCAAGGUAUACUUGGUUGGAGUCAGGGGUAGAUUUUGUUCUCUCGUUUCGAAUAUCUUUCAACCAUCCAUCAAGGUAAACUUGGUUGGAGUCAGACAUGGUUUUUGUUUGCUUUGCUCGAGUAUUUUUCAACCAUCCAUCAAGGUAAACUUGGUUGGAGUCAGAUGUAGAUUUUUCUUUCUCAGCUCGGGGAUCUUUUAACCAUCCAUCAAGAUAAACUUGUUUGGAGUCAGAGGUGGAUUUUGUUUUCUCUGCUCGGGUAUCUUUCAACCAUCCAUCAAGGUAAACUUGAUUGGAGUUAGGCAUGGACUUUUCUUUCUCGACUCUGAUAUUUUUCAACCAUCCAUCAAGAUAAACUUGGUUUGAGUCACUUGCAGGUUUUGUUUUCUCAACUCGGGUAUUUUUCAACCAUCCAUCAAGGUAAACUUGGUUGGAUUCAGAGGUGGAUUUUGCGUUCUCUGCUCUGGUAUCUUUCAACCAUCCAUCAAGGUAAACUUGGUUGGAGUUAGGUGUUGACUUUUCUUUCUCAGCUCUGAUAUCUUUCAACCAUCCAUCAAGAUAAACUUGGUUGGUGUCACCGGUAGAUUUUGCUUUCUCAGCUCGAUUAUCUUUCAACCAUCCAUCAAGGUAAACUUGGUUGGAUUCAGAGGUGUCUUUUGCUUUCUUUGCUCUGGAAUCUUUUAACCAUCCAUCAAGAUAAACUUGAUCAGAGUUCUGGGAGGAUUUGGUUUUCUCUGCUCGUGUAUCUUUCAACCAUCCAUCAAGAUAAACUUGGUUAGAGUUAGCAAUGUGUUUUUGACUCUUCAAUGGAUUUUUGAGCCAACCAUCAAGGUAAGGUUGAUCAACUUGUAUUUCUUGUACAUUCUCUUGCUGAAGUUUGAUAUAUCGGGCAAAGCUUCCUUGUCCAUUCUAUAAUACAAUUGAAUAAAUGGAUAUUAGUGAGUUAUUUUUGGAUGGUAUAUAUGAUUACAAAAACAAAAUAAUGUGUUUUAUAAGACACAUUAUGUUGCACAGGUGAGACACAUUCAUUAUAUAUUUCAGAUGGAUACAAAAUGUGAAAUAAAAAUGAAAGAAAAACAAUUUUUAAAAUUUCAUUGCGGCAUAGAAAACAUUAUUUUAUCAAAUCAAAUAGAACAACUUGAUUGUAAGUGAAUGAUGAAAUCAAAUCAAAUAAAGAUGAGAAAUGAUAGAUUGUGAUAAAUAAAUGAUGAAAAAUAUAAGUGUAAAAGAUACAAGAAUGGAUGCAAAGUUAGUAACUUACGAUCAACAAGAGCAUGAUAAAAGGGAGGAGAAACAAAACAUCUUUGUGUGUCAUUUCUUUAAUGUUAUGAUUUUGUGGGAAAAUUGUUUUAAUGUGAAAAGAUGUAUUGAAAUGGAAGUGAAUUGGGCUAUUUAUAAGUGAAUGAAAAGAAAAACUACAUUAAGGAUAUUAAGGACAUUGCGACUUUGGUUGGCAAGAUUAUUUUUUAAAUAUUUAAUUUAUUUUAUUUUUUAAAUGUUUAGUUUAAUUUAUAAGUUUAUAUGUCUAAGAAAGAUCAAUUUACUUUUUCCAAGAUCUAUUAGGUGUGUUGUUUUGAGUUAUAAAUAAAAAAUUCAAAAAAUUGUUUGUUUGGUAUCAUUUUUUUAAUUAGAAGCUCCUAACUAAAUUCUCCAGGUUUAAAAUAAAUAAAUUUUAGAAAAGCUACUGCAAUUAGUUUUUUAUUUUAAAAUUAAAAAUGAUUCUCUUAAAAACUUUAAUAAAAACCUAUUAAAAUGAUAAAGGUGAUUUUUUAAAUGUUAAACAAACAUUUAUUUUGAUAAGUUAUUUCAAAUAAUUUAAAAUUUCAUAAAUUUAUUUUAAUUUAUAAUUGAAGUGGUAAUUAUCAUAAUCUCGUCUCUUGAGUUCUAAUAUUUGAGCUAAUAGUAUAAAUAUUUUUUAGUUGAAUUAAAAUUUGCAUUAAUGAUAGUUUCAAUUUUACAAUUAAUUAAACUAAUUUAGUAGUUAAUUUUAUUAAGUGUAAUAAAUGCAAUGAAUUAAUUUAACUACAUCCCCUUUAAUUCGAGGUGGGUGUAGGUAUUCCGAGACAUUCAAAUUUGAAGACUAAUAUAUAGAUUAAAAUUAUUUAUUAAUUUAUUUAAUGGUAAUUACAUAUUACAAAAUUUCAUUUUUGGAAAAAAGUUAUUAUUUUAAUAUUUUAUAUUUUUUAAUAGUUAUUAUUUUAUAAAAUUAAUUAUAAUGAGUAUAAUAUUUUAAUUUUAUUAUCAUCAAAUAUACACGACAUCAAAAUUACCAAACAUGAAAUCUAAAUAUAGGGAUCCAAUUAAUUGAAUUGGAAUUUACAUUGUGAAUCAUGAGUCUUCUGCCACCAAUUCCUAGGGACUCACUACCUAGCAAACAAUGAAUACAAAAUAGUAUCACAAGAAACACUAAAAUACUGUGUUGACCCUUGCAUGUUUAAGAUGUUCACAUGUAGCUAGGGUUUGGGUGGUUAUGUAGUUAUGCUUACCUAAUAGUAAGACUGUGUUGACCUUUGCAUGUUUAAGAUGUUCACAUGUAGCUAGGGUUUGCGUGGUUAUGUAGUUAUGCUUAUCUAAUAGUAAGUUAAAAAAUUGUAGUUAUCUAAAAAGUAAUAAAUUAUUAUAUUGACCGGUCUAAAGAGAAGAUAGAUAAGUUANGUAGUUAAUUUUAUUAAGUGUAAUAAAUGCAAUGAAUUAAUUUAACUACAUCCCCUUUAAUUCGAGGUGGGUGUAGGUAUUCAGAGACAUUCAAAUUUGAAGACUAAUAUAUAGAUUAAAAUUAUUUAUGUUCGUCUUAUAUAUUUUUUUUUUAUAUUUUAAUAUAAAUAUUUAUUAAUUUAUUUAAUGGUAAUUAUAUAUUACAAAAUUUCAUUUUUGGAAAAAAGUUAUUAUUUUAAUAUUUUAUAUUUUUUAAUAAUUAUUAUUUUAUAAAAUUAAUUAUAAUGAGUAUAAUAUUUUAAUUUUAUUAUCAUCAAAUAUACACGACAUCAAAAUUACCAAACAUGAAAUCUAAAUAUAGGGAUCCAAUUAAUUGAAUUGGAAUUUACAUUGUGAAUCAUGAGUCUUCUGCCACCAAUUCCUAGGGACUCACUACCUAGCAAACAAUGAAUACAAAAUAGUAUCACAAGAAACACUAAAAUACUGUGUUGACCCUUGCAUGUUUAAGAUGUUCACAUGUAGCUAGGGUUUGGGUGGUUAUGUAGUUAUGCUUACCUAAUAGUAAGACUGUGUUGACCUUUGCAUGUUUAAGAUGUUCACAUGUAGCUAGGGUUUGCGUGGUUAUGUAGUUAUGCUUAUCUAAUAGUAAGUUAAAAAAUUGUAGUUAUCUAAAAAGUAAUAAAUUAUUAUAUUGACCGGUCUAAAGAGAAGAUAGAUAAGUUAUUAUAAUCAAAUAUUAUCUAAAAAACAAUAAAUUAUAAGGAAUAUAGUUUCAUUAUUUUUAUGUUUAUUUAAAAAAUAUAAAUAUUUUUUAAAUUAAUGAUAAAUAAUUGAUUUUAAAUGUGAUGAUGGUUUAUAUCUUUACAUAAGAAACUAAAUGAUAAAAUGUGAAUAUUCAUAUCUAACAUUAAAUAUUUAUCUAAAUAUGUAGGCCAGCCUCAUAUUUAUUGUAAAUUUUUUAACAAAGCUUUUAAUAAUGUAAAUUAGAAUAAUGUAGGCCAGCCUCUCUAUUUAUAUAAAAAAAAUAUUUUUUAAAAUAUUUUUAUAAUAAAAAUAUAAAAUUUGUCACAAAACAAUUUUAUUAUUUUAUUAACUAUAAAAAUAUAGGUUAUAAAUCACAUAUUUCAUUUAUAAUUCAUUAACCAGUAAAAUACGUAAUAUUAAUCAAAUUAUAAUAUUAAAAUAUGAAAUACACAAUUUGCUUAAUUAUUAAUUAUUAUAUUUUAUAUUUUAAUGUCAAAAUUUAUUGAUAUUAUUUAUUUUAUUAAUUGAAUACAGUAAUAAAUAAAAUAUAUGGUUAAUCACCUAUAUUUUUGUGAUUAAUAUAAUAAUAAAAUUAAUUAAUAACAAACUUUAUAUUUAUAUUAUAAAAAUAAUUAUAAAAAUAAAUCAAAAACGAGUUUAAGACAACAUAGGAAAAAGGGAGACUCGGAUAUCGUAUCUCAAAGACGGUUGAAUUAUUAUUAAUAUACUGGAAUCGAAUUGGGGGUUUAUAUUUGAUUCAUAAUAAAUGAUUAUGAAAAGUGAUUAUAAAAUAAGUUGAUUUAUUGAUUCGGUUCCUACCUACCAUUGAUUAUUAUAGCGCGAAUGAAAGUGUAAGAAUUAUGUUUCUUAUUUGCUGAAUUAAGCAAUCAGUUAAGAUUAAAGCGAAUUAACGGAUUAAGCAUACGUUAACACGCAAUCAAAAUUAGGGAACAAUAAAUAUUCAAAUCAAACAAAAUUACUAAGUUUGAAAUUGUACCUCAUUCAGGUCUUGGUUCAAGCAUCCCUAUGUGCAUCACAUUUAACUUUGCAUAGGCCAUGAACUCAAGUCUUUUGGUAUGGAAAAAUGCAUAGAUCCAUAUGCCCGAUUCACUUCAUUCAUAUGAUGCAGAUGAUCAAGGAUGAUUGAUCCAUUUAAGACUUAGUUCCAUUGGUUCAUUCUUUGUUGCUUAAGAAAUCUCAGGGUUUUACUAAGAAGAAAGAGGUCGAGACCAGUGUCGUGAUAGUAAAUAUCUACCCUCAAGUUCAAGCACCUAUGACUCAUGUGUCAUACUACCCUUAUCUGUACAUUGUCGCUGCUCAAUAUCAGCAACCUGCAUACCAACCGCAAUAUCAACAGCCUCCAUGGGCUCCAAUUUCUCAGAAUCAACAAAAUAGCAGAAACCAGAGUCUAGGUCAGGGCAGACGUUAUGAUAGAAAACGUCCUCAGCCUGACCAUAUCCCUGUAUCAUACACUCAGUUGUUGUCGUAUCUUGUCCAGUAAGGAGCAAUUGCGCCAAAAGAGAUUCCGCCUGCAACUCCUCCCUAAAAUCACAAGCAUAAUCCUAAUGUGUCUUGUGCAUUUCAUGUCGGAUACAUAGGGCAUUCUACAGAGGAUUGUUUGGUCCUCAAGACCAUAGUACAAGAGUUAAUUGAUCAUAAGGUUUUGUAAUUCUCUGAGGCAGGACCCAAUGUCAUAACCAACCUAUUGCCAGACCACUGUGGACAGAUAGUGAAUGCAGUUUAUGGCGAAGAUUCCUCAGAUUCAGUUGAUUCUUCAGAGAAGUACUGAUGCUAGCAAUAUCAUAUUGAUUCAAUCAUGUAUCAUUUGUAAUCUUUUCUUGUUUGUUAAUUGUUGUUCAUUUGUAAAACUUGUCUGGUUUUUCAGAUGAUAAUAAUAAUGAAAUAAGCGUGCAUGUUUUGCUUAAAUCCAUUCGUGUUCACUCAUAUUUUAUUUUAUCAGUAUCAAAUUGUUUGUCGAACAAAAUCAAAAGAGAAUGAUGAAAUUAAAAAUAUGCAAGAUCGCUGUUUGUAUGCUUUUGAAUAAGAUCAUGUUGAUGAUGCAAGGCAUUGUUCAAUCCCUAAACACCGGAGAUAUAAGGAAGAUAAUCCCUAGUCAACCCAUUUGGAUGUUGUAGUAGGAGUUUCUUUCUUUAACACAUAAAAUCCUCAUGCUUAACUAGGGGCAGGGUAUUCUUCAUUUAGUUUAGACUUGCAUUCAAAUUUCAGAAGGAGAAUAUCUCAUCCAGUGAUCAAUCAUAUCAUAUCCCUCUCAAGAGGAUGGAAUCACAAAUCCAGGAUGGUUAUCCCUUACCAUUCAAAAGGAGUGAGAUAGUCACGACCCAUGCAACAAAUCAAGAAAGUCGUGUCACACGGUUUUCUCUAGUACAAAAAGAAAAGAUGAAAAAAUUAAAAGUCCGCUAAGUCAAAAACUUGAAAACAAGAUUGACUUAUAUGUGUGUGUUUGGGGUGAGUCUGGAGAUGCACCUUCGAACUUCGAAAUGUGUGAGCUUUUUUGUAUUUUUCAUCUCAUGCCCUAGUAAUAUAUAUGGUGCAUUAAAAAAUAUCCAUAAAUUAAGGGAUUUGGUUAACACACUCUUAGGAUUGUUUUUCGACCCUUGUGAAAAAUCAAAACUACCUUUAGAAUUCAGAAAUAAAUCUUUGGACGCACCUCAAACACACACACAAUCAAUUCAUUUUUGAGUCAUGAAGUUAAUUAGGAAAUGCAUCUCCUUAAAUAUUAACGGGGGUGUAUUUUCCAAACCUAUUGAACCACACAGAAUUGCAUAAACCAAACAGAUGCAGAAAUAAAGAUAAAUCACAUUGAUAACAUGAAAAAUGAAAUAUUACAUAGAUAAUCGUUAACAUAAAUCGAACUUUGCAUUUGAACAUCAAGAUGGACGUUUCAACAUAUUUAUAAUAUCUUUUAUCGAUCUCGCAAUCAUCGCAUCCAACUUGAUCAAACAUUUUAUUUCGUAACGGUUAAAUGUAUUUCACAUAACUCUUAAAUCCGCAUCCGUCUUCAGCUUAAAGUUGUUGAACUGAAUCUACCAUUCAUUAUCAACCGAGAGUGAACCUUACUUGAGUUUCACAAUUCUUCAAUGAACUUAAAUGCAAUUGAGGACUCCGCGUAGUUGAGUCAUAUUUCAUGGAGACUCAUAAUGCGUCCAAAAAUGCAUUUCCAAAAUUUUAGUGGCAUUUUUAAAUUUUUAUAGGAUGGUUUUCCAGCACUUAUGUAGAGAUAAACAAUUUCCUUAUUAAAGGUCUCUGAGAGGAAUUGAAAUAAAUAUAUUUAAAAAAUUAGUAUUAUACUUAUUUAAGGAAUAAAGUUUUCUAACCAAAAAUUUUUCCCUAAUUUUUUUGUGCCUAAUUUUUUUGCUAACAAAAUAGAGACCUGAUUAUAUUUCACUAAUUUUCAUUCAUCUCUCAAUUAAUAUCUCUCAUAACCCUCAUUAACUCUCAAUUAAUGUAAUUCAUAUCAAUUAAUUGUUUUUUGAAAAUUUUGUAUCCGGCUUCGGACCAACUAGUUUAGUGAAUUGCUAAUUUCAUCUUUAAGUGUUGGAAAAAUACCUUAUAAAAAUUUGAAAAUACUCUUCUGAUUCCAAAAAUGCAUCUUCGGACGCAACUUGCACCUCACCAAAACACGCUUCAACUUGUUGAUGUUUUUUAUGUAAUUCAAGUGGUGUAACUGGUUACCUCAUGUGGUGUAAACGGUUACCACUAAAGUUGAUUUAAUUCAAUAUCAGAUGUAACCGAUUAUCCACUUUUGUGUAACGAUUACAAGCUUAAUAUUUUGAUUUUUUCUGAUAUUUUACUUGGUCAAUUCAGUUCCCAAUUGUGUUGUAUCUCUUGUAUAAGUGUUUAGAAUGUACACUCAUCUAAGGUUAAUGCAAUAAUAAUCUCUCAUCCUCAAUUCUCCUCUUUCACACUCCACAUCCAAAGUAUCUCCACCAUUAUUCACCAAACUUGUGGUGUCCUGUUCCAACAUUUGACAUCAAGAGUCUGGUUCAGAUCCACAAACACUUAGUGUGCAACAUGAAUUAUGUUUCCAAUGAAAAAAUCCCUCCAAACCUACCUAUCCUUGAUGCGAAGAAUUAUGAUAAAUGGUACAAGGAAAUGAAGAUGUUGUUUGGCUACCAAGAUGUUCUUACAGUAACUCUUAAGAGAAAAUAGUUGUCCCUGACCUACUUUGAGUCUCCGUAGGGAAAUUGGACUGGCAAAGAGGGUAGAAGGAGGAAACUACUCAAGUGAGCUUGAAGCAACAAAGGCAGUGAGUUUAGUUCCCACGCGGGGAAGAACGUUUAUAACAAGAGCCAGGAAGAUAAAUUAUUUUAUAAUACCUUCUCAAAAGUAAAAUGAGCUAUGAGAAAGAGCAAGAAUCUCAAGCGAUUGGCUGAACUUAACCUAGCUCGAGCUACAUGGCGGUUGAUCAAGGGAUACCGGAAAGAGGCAAACAACAGAACCUCCGGGUUUGAAGCUUUUCAUGUCGGGGCGAGGUCAAUCAAGGGUUUUGGGUCAGUGAAAGCUCGAGUGCCCCCUUCAAAAGUAAGGUGUCGGGAAUGCAACCAGUGAGGUGACCCGUUCCGUUAGGGCGGAUGAAAGAAGUUAUCCUGAAGCAGCGUCAAAGGCCUCUGUAGGCCCUUCAACAGGAUUUUUUGUCGUGUAGCAUUCUGUUUUGGCUACUCACGAAACUCUUUAUCCUUAAUAGGAAGAACUCCCUUUAGAGGAAGGAUACAAAGACCAAGCCUGUCUUUCUCUCUUAAAAAGGGCAUAUGGGGCAGGGCAGAAAGACUAUUUUAGGGGACUAAUCUGCUAAUGAAUGAAGGAAGGAGAAGGCCUUAAUUGUCUAUCCAAAGGUCCGCCUUGGGUGGAUUUAGGCGAAUCAAGUGGGUGGGAAUGAUCCGAGCCCCCUAUGUAAAUUUCAGUAAGGUAACUAAGGUUUACAAUAAUUCAUUUCAGUAGUGCGUUACCUUGCAGCUCUAUCUAUCGGGUAGUCAGUCUCUUGGUCAAAAGCCGGUACCUAAUUCCCCUGCUGGUGGGCCGAUCCUCGUCUAGCGGUGGGAACCGGCUGGUAUGGAUCAAUUGCUUGCCCUGUCUCUCUUCUGUUCAACCAUCGAGAAUCCGCAGUUAUCUUUGCUCAUUGGGUGGGCGAAGGAAUCCUUUCUAUUGAAUAAGGGCUUUGAGAAGCAGGCCAUUCCGUUCCAGUUAGCACCGUAUCCCGCUUUUCCGAUAGCAAAGGGCCUUCUAAUUAGCGUGCUUUGCUUAACCCGGCAAGAUCCGAGAUCAGACCUAGUCCUGCUGACCCGCUACCCUUGAAAACAUACUUUUUGCCACCUUACGACUGGUGUGAAGGAACUUAUUGCACAUAUUUAACAUGGGGAAGGAAAGAGGAGGGAAUAAAGCAUAUUUUAGGCAUCGANUUAAGAAAUGUCCAUGAAUUAAGGGAUUUGGUUAACGCACUCUUAGGGUUGUUUUUCGACCCUCGUGAAAAAUCAAAACUACCUUUAGAAUUCAGAAAUAAAUCUUUGGACGCACCUCAAACACACAUAAUCUGUUCAUUUUGUAGUCAUGAAUUUAAUUCGGAAAUGCAUCUCCUUAAAUAUUUAUGGAGGUGUAUUUUCAGAACCUACUUAACCACAAAGAAUUUCAUAAACCAAACAGAUGCAGAAACAAAGAUAAAUCACAUUGAUAACAUUGAAAAAUGAAAUAUUACAUAGAUAAUCGUUAACAUAAAUCGAACAUUAUAUUUGAACAUUAAGAUGGACGUUUCAACAUCUUUAUAAUAUCUUUUAUCGAUCUCGCAAUCAUCGCAUCCAACUUGAUCAAAUAUUUUGUUUCGUAACGGUUAAAUGUAUUUCAGAUAACUCUUAAAUCUGCAUUCGUCUUCAGCUUAAAAUUGUUGAAAUGAAUCUUCGAUUCAUUAUCAAUCGAGAGUGAACCGUACUUGAGUUUUGUAAGAACAAAAAUAGUUCUACAAUAGAUUCCAUGAUUUUGAUGAUAACAAAGGAUGAAACCAAAAAUGGCACCCUAACGAAAAGUUUCUAAGUGUGCAGGGUUCUAAAGAAAGAAGAAAUAAAUCUGAUGAUGUCAUCAGAUGCAAAACAAGAUCAGAUGUAAAAUCUCAAGUAUCAGAAGCAUCUAAAGAGGAAUCUCAUUCAAGAAGCUCUGACUCUGGACAAAACUACAAAGUAUCAGAAGCAUCUGAACAUGAAGUAAAGUCUAGAAGCUCUGACUCUGAACAAAUGCCUUCUGUAAAUUCUGAAGUUAUCAGCGCCAUCUGAACUUUCAAGAGAUAACAUCAGAAGCCAGUUUCUCCAGAUACACAAAGACUCUAAUCAGAAUUGUUAAUCAUGAUGAAGUAACGUUUAAGCCAAGUUAAAGUUCUGCAAAUGGAUUUCCUCAAUUAGAAAGAGACGUUAAUCUCCACUUCCAAGAGAGAAGAUACUAAUUGUGGUAAGUAGUCACUUCUAAGAGAAAAAGUCUACUGCAGAAGCUAUUAAUGGAAUGGCGUAACUACAUCUCAAUAUCCAACAGAUUCAACGCUACUUCAACUCUACUUCAACUCCUAUAAAUAGAGAAGAAAUCUCAUUCAGUAAGAAAGAAAUCACUAGCCAAAACUAUACUGAAAUUAUAUCACGCUCAAGAAAAACAUCUUUGUUCUUCAAAGAUUUUCACUAAGCUUUUGCUUAUCAAGUGAAAAAUUUGUUCUUAAGUUUGUAAUAUUUGCUUUCUUAGAAGCACUCUAGAUUACACAUCUUGUAUCUAAUUUUUAUUUGAUUUCCUCAAGUGACUCUUUGUAGUCUGUAGACUUGAGAGGACUAAGAGAUUUUCUUCUCUCUUAGGGGUUGUUUGUAAUCUUUCAAGAUUAGUGGAUUAAGUCCUUGUUGAAGGCGAAAUCACCUUGGCCGGGUGGACUGGAGUAGCUUUGUGUUAUAAGCGAACCAGUAUAAAAUCAUUGUGUGAUUUUCUUUUGCAAAAGCGCUUAUUUUUCAAACAAUUCAAACCCCCCCUUUCUUGUUUUUCUCACCUUCAAUUGGUAUCAGAGCUCCGGCUCUGUUAUUGAUUUUCAAAUCAAACACUUAACCGUGUAGAGAGAUCCAGUGCGAGAAAAACAAAUGGCCCACUCAAAUGAGAAAGAUUCUUACAAUGCCAAGCCUCCUGUUUUUGAUGGAGAAAAGUUUGAUUACUGGAAAGAUAGAAUCGAAAGUUUCUUUCUGGGUUAUGAUGCUGACCUCUGGGACAUUGUCACAGAUGGAUACAAACCUCCAACCUUAAAUGGAGCUGAAGUUCCCAGAAGCAAAAUGUCAGAAGAUCAGAAACGUGAGUUCAAAAAUCAUCACAAGGCCAGAACAAUACUUCUAAAUGCUAUAUCAUACAACGAAUACGAAAAGAUCACCAACAGAGAGACGGCUAAAGAUAUACUUGACUCUCUGAAGAUGACCCAUGAAGGAAACUCCCAAGUCAAGGAGACGAAGGCUCUGGCGUUGAUCCAGAAAUAUGAAGCCUUCAAGAUGGAAGAUGACGAAGCUAUAGAAGCUAUGUUUUCCAGAUUCCAAACUCUUAUUGCAGGUCUUAAAGUGCUAGACAAAGGAUACACGACUGCAGAUCAUGUUAAGAAGAUUGUCAGAAGUCUGCCAAAGAAAUGGAGACCUAUGGUUACUGCUCUGAAGUUAUCAAAGGAUCUGAACAGUAUCAGCCUUGAAGAACUUGUUAGUUCUCUCAGAAGCCAUGAGAUAGAACUAGAGGAGGAUGAGCCUCAGAAAAGGAACAAGUCAGUGGCGCUGAAGUCCAGACCUGAAAGACGGAAGUCAGACAGAACCAAAGCUCUCCAGGCAGAAACUGCAGAUACUGACGACUCUGAACCUGAAGACUCUGAUGAUGAAGAAGAACUGUCCUUACUAACCAGAAGAGUUAAGCAACUCUGGAAAAGAAGGAACAACAACAACUUCAGAAGAUCAAGACCCAGAGGGGAUAGAUCAGAGUCAACUUCAAAAGGUAAACCUAAUAAAGAUAUUACCUGUUUUGAAUGUAAAGAAACAGGUCAUUAUAGAAAUGAAUGCCCCAAGCUGAAGAAAGAUAACUCUAAGAAAGAAAGCUUCAAGAAAAAUGCCUUCAGAACAAAGAAGGGAUUAAUGGCCACCUGGGACGAUAGUGAAUCAGGAUCAUCAGAAUCUGACUCUGAUGAACAAGCCAACGUAGCAUUUAUGGCUACCACAUCCAGCAGCUCAGAUGAAGAAUCUGAAGAGGUAUUUUCUGAACUUUCUAGAUCUGACUUAGAAUCAUGUUUAUCAGAAACUCUUACCUCUCUUCAGAAAUUAAAACAAAAAGUUAAAAGCAUUAAAGGCCUUCUUAAAGCAAAAUCUGAAGAAUGUAGUGAACUUGAGACAACAAUUCUAGCACAUGAAGAUACAAUCAAAUCUUUAACGUUAGAAAGAGAUGGAGCUAAAACAAAAAGCUUAAAAUUAGAAGAAGCGUUGUCUCAAGCACCACAAACUUCAAAUGAAAUUAUUUAUAAAUAUGAAGAAGCCUUUCAGAAGUUUCUGAAGAGUGGAAUAGAUAGGAGUAUUAUGGCAUCCAUGAUUUAUGGAGUAAGUCAGAAUAAUAAAAGGGGAAUUGGGUAUGAUUCUGAUUCUGAUAAAACUUCUACCAGUAACCAAAUUAAAUCACCUUUUUCAUACCACUAUACACACACACAAGAACACAAAUUUAAAAAUGCUAGAAGACCCAAAGUUGUAAGAAACUCUGGGAAAACUAAUCUGAAAGGACCCAAGAGAUUCUGGGUACCGAAAGAUAAGAUUAUCUAUGUUGCAGAUAUCCUAUGCAGCAAAGUUCAGACACCAGUCAUGGUACCUGGACUCUGGAUGCUCGCGACAUAUGACGGGAAGAAAGUCUAUGUUCCAAAGCCUGGAACUUAAAGACGCUGGCUUUGUAGGCUUCGGAGGAGAUCAGAAAGGAAGGAUCAGAGGCUCCGGAACUAUUGGUAAUGGUACUCUUCCCUCUAUAUCUGAUGUUCUUUAUGUAGAAGGAUUAAUGCAUAACUUGUUAUCCAUAAGUCAAUUAAGUGAUAACGGUUAUGAUGUAAUCUUUAAUCAAAAAACGUGUAAAGCCAUUAAUCAGAACGAUGGCUCUGUCCUUUUCACAGGCAAGAGGAAAAACAACAUUUAUAAAAUAAAUCUUUCUGAUUUAAAAGAUCAAAAUGUUAAAUGUUUAAUGUCAGUUCACGAAGAGCAAUGGGUAUGGCAUAGACGCUUAGGCCACAUUAGCAUGAGAAAACUUUCUCAGCUAACUAAACUUGAGUUAGUCAGAGGCUUACCUAAACUGAAGUUUUCUUCAGAUGCUCUGUGUGAAGCUUGUCAGAAAGGAAAGUUUUCAAAAACAUCUUUUAAAAAGAAAAAUGUUGUUUCUACCUCCAAGCCUCUGGAGCUUCUUCACAUUGACUUAUUUGGUCCUGUGAAAACAGCAUCAGUCAAUGGAAAGAAGUAUGGACUAGUAAUCGUUGAUGAUUACAGCCGCUGGACAUGGGUAAAAUUCCUAAAGCACAAGAGUGAGUCUCACUCUGUAUUCACCAGUUUCUGUUCUAAAGUGCAAAAAGAAUUUGACUCUAAAAUUGUUAGAGUCAGAAGUGAUCAUGGUGGAGAAUUUGAAAAUAAAGAUUUUGAAGAAUUAUUUGAUUCUAAUGGAAUAUCCCAUGAUUUCUCCUGCCCUAGAACUCCACAACAAAAUGGAGUUGUAGAGAGGAAGAAUAGGACACUCCAAGAAAUGGCCAGAACCAUGAUCAAUGAAACAAAUGUAGCAAAGCACUUUUGGGCAGAAGCUGUAAAUACAGCGUGUUACAUUCAGAAUAGAAUCUCUAUUAGACCUAUUCUGGAUAAGACUCCCUAUGAACUGUGUAAGGGAAGAAAACCCAACAUUUCAUAUUUUCAUCCUUUUGGAUGCAUUUGCUUUAUAUUAAAUACUAAAGAACAUCUGAACAAGUUUGAUUCCAAAGCACAGAAAGGUAUUAUGUUAGGAUACUCAGAACGCUCUAAAGGCUACAGAGUAUACAACACAGAAACCAAAAUUGUGGAGGAAUCAAUUCAUGUUAGAUUUGAUGAUAAGCUUGACCCUGAAAAGUCAAAGCUAGUUGAAAAGUUUGCAGAUUUAGAGAUCACUCUGGUAGAAUCUGAGAAAACUCCAGAAGCAACUGUCACUCCAGACUCUGAAGAAAUUAAAUCUCCAGAAAUUCCAAGGAAAGUCAAGAGUCGUAGCAACGUAUCUGAAGAUUUGAUUUUGGGAAACAAAGAUGAACCUGUUAGAACCAGAUCUACCUUCAGAACUUCUGAAGAUAUUCCUCUGGGACUAGUGUCUCUGAUUGAGCCUACGUCCUGUGAUGAAGCUCUUCAAGAUAACGAUUGGGUGGCAGCUAUGCAAGAAGAGUUAGAUCAAUUCUCCAAGAAUGAUGUCUGGGAUCUCGUUCCUAAACCCAGAGGCACUCAUGUCAUUGGAACCAGAUGGGUUUUCAGAAACAAACUGAACGAGAAAGGAGAAGUUGUCAGAAACAAAGCACGACUGGUAGCUCAAGGUUAUAGUCAACAAGAAGGUAUUGAUUAUAAUGAAACUUUUGCUCCAGUCGCAAGGUUAGAAUCUAUUCGUCUUCUUGUAUCUUUUGCUAUUAAUCACUCUAUCAAAUUAUACCAAAUGGAUGUCAAGAGUGCAUUUCUUAAUGGUUAUAUUUCAGAAGAAGUGUAUGUCAAUCAACCUCCAGGUUUUGAAAAUUCAAACUUUCCAGAACAUGUUUUCAAACUUAAGAAAUCCUUAUAUGGACUUAAACAAGCUCCCAGAGCUUGGUAUGAACGCUUAAGUAAUUUUCUUCUGGAACAAAAUUUUAUCAGAGGGAAAGUUGAUUCUACACUCUUCUGUAAAAAUCAUAAAAAUGAUCUCAUGAUAUGCCAAAUUUAUGUUGAUGACAUUAUUUUUGGUUCUGCUAAUAUCUCUGUUUGCCAAGAAUUUUCUAAGUUAAUGCAGGCAGAAUUUGAAAUGAGUCUAAUGCAAGAACUAAAGUUCUUUCUGGGAAUUCAAAUUAAUCAAACUCCAGAAGUCACGUACAUUCAUCAAAGCAAGUACAUUAAAGACGUUCUGAAGAAGUUUGAUAUGUCUGAAUGCAACUCUGCAAAGACUCCUAUGCACCCAACUUGCAUUCUGGAAAAGGAAGAGGUAAGCAACAAGGUUUGUCAGAAGCUCUAUCGAGGUAUGAUAGGCUCUCUUCUCUAUCUGACUGCUACUCGUCCUGAUAUUCUCUUUAGCGUCUGUCUUUGUGCCAGAUUCCAAUCAGAUCCUAGAGAAUCUCAUUUAACAGCUGUUAAGAGAAUUCUUAAGUAUCUGAAAGGAACUCCUAACCUGGGCCUGAUGUAUGAGAAAACAUCAGAGUAUAGGCUUUCUGGUUAUUGUGAUGCAGAUUAUGCAGGAGAUAGAAUAGAACGAAAAAGCACAUCUGGAAAUUGCCAGCUUCUGGGAAACAAUCUAAUCUCCUGGGCUAGCAAAAGACAGUCAACUAUCGCUCUAUCAACUGCAGAAGCAGAAUAUAUCUCAGCAUCACUGUGCACAACUCAGAUGCUCUGGAUGAAACAUCAGCUAGAAGAUCUUCAAAUCUUUGAGAGUAACAUUCCUAUCCUUUGUGAUAAUACUGCUGCUAUUUGUUUGAGUAAGAAUCCUAUUUUACAUUCCAGAGCCAAACACAUAGAAAUUAAACAUCAUUUUAUUAGAGACUAUGUUCAGAAAGGAAUAGUAACGCUGAAGUUCAUUGAUACAGAACAUCAAUGGGCAGAUAUCUUUACUAAGCCUCUAGCUGAAGAUAGAUUUCUUUUCAUCUUAGAAAAUCUGAACAUUAAAAAUUGUCCUGAGUAAAAUUUGGCUCUGAACAUGUAAAAUGAGACUCUGAUAAAAACAAAUACACUUCUGCCUCUGACUCUGAUACUUCUACCAAGUUAAGAAGAUAUCUGAGUUAGAAAUCUUCAGAAAUCCUUUGGUAUUCCUGAAGAUCAGAUACAUCAACACGUGGGGAACAUGCGUCUAACCCUAGAACUUCUAGACAGCUGUCAAAAGAAAUCAAAGGUCAGAACGCUUGAAAUCUCCUCGAGCAGUGUGCUUACUGUUGGGAUUAGACAUUCAUUAAUUAGCUAUAAUCAUUUUUCCCCCAAACGUGCUAUUUUGGUUUUUGUGCUAACGCUGGUAUGUGUGUCGUUUUGCAUGUGUUUUUACCCUUAGUAUAUAAACACUUUCUCUCACUUUUCACACUUAUCACUCUCACUCACUCUAAAACCCUAAACCCUUCUCUGAAAGUUCUCUGCAAGUUCUUCAUCUUCUUCAAUCUCCAUCAUCUUCAUCAACAUGGACGCUCAACAACAAGAACUCUUCAACCAUUCUCAACAAGUGGAAUCUAGUUCCAAUCCCCAAACCUCAAACACUCAAACACCCACGGUUAUAAGCGUCACCACAACCCCAGUUUACAAAGAACCUCACAUUCUUGACCGUGAACAACACAUUCAUCUUUCAACUCCCUUUGAAGGUUUGGAUGUACUGUGUGAAUCGCUGGUGGAUUUUGAGAAUUUGAGAAGAAAUGGCGUUGAUUUAACUGAAGAUCUUCGCAAGCAAGGUUGGGAAACCUACUUCAACAGAUUGUAUGGUCCAAUCUAUCCUCUUCUGGUGAAAGAAUUCUGGAGAUGUGCAGAUGCUGAUGAUGAGUUCAUUGUUUCUUUUGUUCUGGGAGUGAAGAUCAUCAUCACAGAAGCAUCUAUUGCCUCUUUGCUGAACAUGGAGAGAACUGGAGGUAAAAGGAUUUACAACAUUCCUCCAAGGUCCAAGCGCAUCACAGAAGUCAUUAACCCUACAAUCUUCAAAGCAAAUGUUGAAGGAAACCCAUCUAAGAACAAGGAGCUUCAUCAGAACCUCCGAGUUUGGCUGAAGAUUAUUCUGGGAACAAUCCAUCAUCGUCCAGCCUCCAACUCUUCAGAUUAUAUAAAUGCUGAUCAGAAAUGCAUCCUCUACUGUAUUCAGAAGGGUAUUCCAAUCAACCUCCCUGUUCUCCUCUUCAGAUAUCUGAGGGAUUCAGUCAGAGAAACAAGGAAUAAUAUGAAGCCCAGAUCCUACAUUCCUCUGGGAAGAUUGCUCUCUGACAUCUUCAUUGAGCAUGGGCUGGUAGAUGCUCUGGAGAAGACCAGAUGUAUGGAUGAUCUGGCAAUUGACGUUGGAAAGCCUCUGAAUGCCAAAAAUCUGAGGAGUAUGGGAAUCAUCAAAGACAUCAGAGUCAAGCCCACUAUGAAUGUAACCUGGGAAGCUCUGAAGGAUCAGAGGAAGAUGCCUCAUGGCCUUGAAAGGUUCUUCAAGAAUGAACCCAGAGAUGCCAUUGCUAUCUACCUUCAGGAUCGUCUGGAUGAAGGCAUUGAUAUCUCUGAUUUCCGCCUUGAAGACUGUCUGGACUCUGUAGAAGAUCUGGUCAGAUACAAAAGAGGUCUUUCUGAGAAGAAGAUAGCUGAGGAAGCAAGGAAGGCAAAGAAAGCCAGACUUGGAGAAACCUCUGGCACCAAAGCUUCAGCACCUCUGAAUGUCUCCUCUGGUAAGUCCAUUCCUCCUGUCUCUUCUGAAUCUGUAAUGGCUUCCUCUAACCCUCUCUCCUCUCAACCAAUAUAUACCACCGCUGAAAUACCACCUUCAACCAUCAGAACCUCUCAACCUCCACCUGUUCUAAAAAUUGCUCGUAAUUUCACAACAACCUCUGACCCUAAUCAACUAUAUCACCACAGCUCUUCCUCAUCCUCUGAAUAUGAAUCACCCCCUUACCUUUCCCCUUCUUCUGACCAAGAGUUCUCUGAACAAGAGUCCUCUGACCAAGAACACUCUGACCCAAACUCCCCAACAAUAGCUGAAAUUUAUGCUAAAAAUUUCGCUCCACAACCCUCAAGACAAUCUGAAGUAACCUCUCCCCUCCAAACUUCACUUCCACCACAACAAACAACAACCUUACCCUCUGAAACUCAACCAUCUGAUCCCUUCACCUCUAAUAUCACUCCACCAUUUAUUCCCGCUGUACCUGGACCAGACUCUGACCCUUUAGACCUAAAUCCACUAUAUGCUUCAUCCCCUAGUCUUCAACCAGACGCAGAUUCUGAACUUCAAGCAGAAUCUGAACCUCAACAAACUGAACCUCAACCUCUAAAUCUCAGCCCUCAAAACUCUCCACCUCAUUCACCUGAACCUGAACCUGAACUUACCAUACCUACCCUUGAGGAGGCCAUUAUACAGGUUGCAGAAGCUUCAGUCCAGAAGAUCAAGUCUCUGGCUAAAAACUCUGAAGUUAGUGAUGAUCCUAAAUCUGUUAGGACACACUGGAACAGAGUCAUUAGUUGGAUGACCUCUGAGUCUUAUAGGCUGAAGAGUAUCUCUGAACAAGUCAGAAAUGGCUACAUCAGAGACUCUGAGGAAAGACUCCAAGAGAGACUGGCUAGAGAAGCUGAGGCCAGAAGGUUAGAGGAAGAGAGACUGGCUAGAGAAGCUGAGGCCAAGAGAUUAGAGGAAGAAAGAUUGGCUAGGGAAGCUGAAGAAGAAGCUAAGAGGUUGGAAGAAGAACGCCUGGCAAAGGAAGCAGAACUUCUAAGGAUUCAGGAAGCUGAAGCCAAGGCUAAGGCAGAUGCAGAAGCCCAAGCUGCUGCUGAAGCUGAAGCUCAGCAGGCUCUGAUUCAGGGGGAGUCUUCCUCUGCGAUCCCUCUGAUUCUUAACACUCUGAAGGAGAUCAAGCAAGAUCAGAAAGAGAUCAAGCAAGAUCAGAGUGAGCUCCGGGCAAGGAUGGACAAGCAAGACGCUCUGAAUGAAAACCUCCAGAAUAUGUUUGCUAUGCUACUACAGAGACUUCCUCCUCCUCCAAACCCUUAGGCACUUAGGAUUUCUUUUGUUUGCCUAGUGUUUUUGCUUCUGUCUUUUCUUUUUUUUCUCUGAUAUUUCUGUUGAAUCUGAUGUUUUGACUGCUGCUUGCCUUUGUGCUUUUGUUUAAUGAAGUGUUUUUCUCUCUAUUAUUUUUUUUAUGUUUUAUGCCUUUUUGAUUAUGCCAAAAAGGGGGAGAAAUUAUUAAAUAGCUCUGAUGAAAAUUAUGUCUAAAACCUUAAGCAUUCUGCAACAAUUAUAGAAAUAGUUCUGAUAUAAAUAGCUCUGAUUAAAUAAUAGCUCUGAUUAAAUAACUCUAACAUUAAAAUUAAGAAAUUGCAGAAAGUUUUCAGAAAUCUCAUUGCUUGGAAAGCUCUGGUAAGAACUUCUGAACUCCCUAGUACUAACUCAGGGGGAGCUUUUGUCUAUCUGAUCUAAUAUUUUUCAUGUUUCAUCUGAUAAUUUUAUUUGUUUUGUCAUCAUCAAAAAGGGGGAGAUUGUAAGAACAAAAAUUGUUCUACAACAGAUUCCAUGAUUUUGAUGAUAACAAAGGAUGAAACCAAAAAUGGCACCCUAACGAAAAGUUUCUAAGUGUGCAGGGUUCUAAAGAAAGAAGAAAUAAAUCUGAUGAUGUCAUCAGAUGCAAAACAAGAUCAGAUGCAAAAUCUCAAGUAUCAGAAGCAUCUAAAGAGGAAUCUCGUUUCAAGAAGCUCUGACUCUGGACAAAACUACAAAGUAUCAGAAGCAUCUGAACAUGAAGUAAAGUCUAGAAGCUCUGACUCUGAACAAAUGCCUUCUGUAAAUUCUGAAGUUAUCAGCGCCAUCUGAACUUUCAAGAGAUAACAUCAGAAGCCAGUUUCUCCAGAUACACAAAGACUCUAAUCAGAAUUGUUAAUCAUGAUGAAGUAACGUUUAAGCCAAGUUAAAGUUCUGCAAAUGGAUUUCCUCAAUUAGAAAGAGACGUUAAUCUCCACUUCCAAGAGAGAAGAUACUAAUUGUGGUAAGUAGUCACUUCUAAGAGAAAAAGUCUACUGCAGAAGCUAUUAAUGGAAUGGCGUAACUACAUCUCAAUAUCCAACAGAUUCAACGCUACUUCAACUCUACUUCAACUCCUAUAAAUAGAGAAGAAAUCUCAUUCAGUAAACACGAAGAAAUCACUAGCCAAAACUAUACUGAAAUCAUAUCACGCUCAAGAAAAACAUCUUUGUUCUUCAAAGAUUUUCACUAAGCUUUUGCUUAUCAAGUGAAAAAUUUGUUCUUAAGUUUGUAAUAUUUGCUUUCUUAGAAGCACUCUAGAUUACACAUCUUGUAUCUAAUUUUUAUUUGAUUUCCUCAAGUGACUCUUUGUAGUCUGUAGACUUGAGAGGACUAAGAGAUUUUCUUCUCUCUUAGGGGUUGUUUGUAAUCUUUCAAGAUUAGUGGAUUAAGUCCUUGUUGAAGGCGAAAUCACCUUGGCCGGGUGGACUGGAGUAGCUUUGUGUUAUAAGCGAACCAGUAUAAAAUCUUUGUGUGAUUUCAUUUUGCAAAAGCGCUUAUUUUUCAAACAAUUCAAACCCCCCUUUCUUGUUUUUCUCACCUUCAAGUUUCACAAUUCUUUGAUGAACUAAAAUGCAAUUGAGGACUCCGCGUCUUUGAGUCAUAAAUCAUGGAGACUCAUAAUGCGUCCAAAAAUGCAUAUCCAAAAUUUAAGUGGCAUUUUCAAAUUUUUAUAGGAUGGUUUUCCAACACUUAUGUAGAGAUAAACAAUUUCGUAAUUAAAGGUCUCUAAGAGGAGUUGAAAUAAAUAUAUUUAAAAAAUUAGUAACAUAAUUAUUUAAGGAAUAAAGUUUUCUAACCAAAAGAAUUUUUCCCUAAUUUUUUUGUGCCUAAUUUAUUUUGCUAACAAAGUAAAGCCCUGAUUAUUGUUACUAAAUUUUAGUAAUUUUCAUUCAUCUCUCAAUUAAUAUCUCUUAUAAUCCUCAUUAACUCUCAAUUAAUGUAAUUCAUAUCUAUCAAAAAAAAUUGAAAAUUUUGUAUCUAGGCUUGGGACCAACUAGUUUAGUGAAUUGCUAAUUUCAUCUUAAGUGUUGGAAAUAUGCCCUAUAAAAUUUUGAAAAUACCCUUUUGAAUCCGAAAAUGCAUCUUCGAACGCACCUUACGCCUCACUAAAACACACCUCAACUUGUUGAUGUUUUUUAUGUAAUUCAAGUGAUGUAACCAGUUAUCUCGGGUAGGUAACCGGUUACAUAAAUGUCUAAAGUUCAAUCAAGUAGCAAAAAUGUGGAGUUUUUGAAGGUGUAACCGGUUAACCAUUUUGGUGUAAACGGUUACCACAAAAGCUGAUUUAAUUCAAUGUCAGGUGUAACCGAUUAUCCAUUUUUGUGUAACAUUACAAGCGUAAUAUUUUGAUUUUUCCUGCUAUUUUACUUGGUCAAUUCAGUUCCCAAUUGUGUUGUAUCUCUUGUAUAAGUGUUUAGAAUGCACACUCAUCUAAGGUUAAUGCAAUAAUAAUCUCUCCCCCUUAAUUCUCCUCUUUCACACUCCACAUCCAAAGUAUCUCCAUCAUUGUUCACCAAACUUGUGGUCUCUUGUUCCAAAAUUUGACAUCAAGAGUCUGGUUCAGAUCCACAAACACCUAGUGUGCAACAUGAAUUAUGUUUCCAAUGAAAGAAUUCCUGCAAACCUACCUAUCUUUGAUGCGAAGAAUUAGGAUAAACGGUGCAAGGAAAUGAAGAUGUUGUUUGGAUACCAAGAUGUUCUUAAAGUAAUCAAUAAGGAUGUUACUCCUCUUAUUCAAAAUGAAACAGAGGCGCAACAAGCAACACAUAAGGAAGAGAAGAAGAAAUAGUUCAAUGUGUUGAUGGCGAUGAUUUUAAGAAAGUUGAUGAUUGUGAAUCGUCAAAGUAAGCGUGAGAGAUCUUAGAGAAGGCAUGUGCAUGGGUUGACAAGGAAAAGGUGGUGAGGUUACAAACUCAUAAACGUCAGUUUGAAUUGAUUCAAAUGGAGGAAAAGGAGAUAAUCAAUGAUUUUGCAAUGAGAAUCACUCGGUUGGUGAAUCAAGUGAAGGCAUGCAAAGAAACUGUUACGGAGUUGUAUGUUGCUGCUAAAAUCUUGUGUUCUUUAACACCAAGAUUUAACAGUAUAGUUGUGGCAAUUGAUGAGUCAAAGGAUCCCGCGACGAUGAGCAAAGAGGAGUUGCAAAGUUCUCUUGAGGCUCAUGAGAAAAAGAUGGAAAAGAGGAAUAACGAUAAGGCAAAGGCGGAGAUUGCUUUGCAAGCUCGUUUCAAUGAGAAGGACAAGAGAUCGAAAGGAAAAUGGCCCAAGAAAAGAAAAGGGAAUUUUCAUAAUUUGGGUGGAAGAGAGUCCUAAAAUUCAAAUGAUUUGACUUGUCAAAGGGGUGAGAGCAGCUACAAUAAACAUGGUGGUCAAGGAAACUUUAGAGGUAGAAGGAAGAAGUUUGAUAAGAGCAAGGAGAUGUGCUAUAAGUGUCAAUGGUUCGUUCAUUUUGCAAAAAAAUACAAUGUGAACAAGAAAGAAUCUCAAGGGAUUAAACCAAGGUUGCAAGAUAAGAGUUUGAUGAAGAGAAUAUAAUUUUGGUCAUGAUCAAAGAAGGGAAUUAUAGCAGCAAACAACUGUGGGACAACAGCGGCAAUAAAUCAAAGAAUGCUAAAAAGGUCGGUUGAAUGAUACGAUUAACCGAUCGCAUGAAGAGGAAGAUACCAUGAUGAGUUUGAAAGGAGUUCAAUGUAGUGAUGAGUGGUAUUUGGACUUGGGUUGUUCAGCUCAUAUGACAGGAAUAAAGGAUUGGUGUGUCAAAAUCAAUCGUGCCAUGAAGAAUAAACUAAAGUUUGCAGAUGAAACCACCCUAAUGAUCGAUGGGAUCGAUGAUGUUUUGAUCAUGAGAAGGGAUAAUGGACAUUACUUAAUCACAAAUUCUUGUACAUUUUUGGAAUCAAAUUUAACCUUCUAAGUAUUGGCCAAUUGCUUGAGAAGGAUUCCAAGAUUCACAUGGAAGACAAUGGGUUGUGCGUUAUGGAUAUAAGAGGAGGCUUGGUCCUUAAAGCGCAUAUGGCUGCCAAUAGAACCUUUAAGGUUGAGUUGAAGGUUAUAGAGUAUAAAUGUCUUGCUACUACAUCAAGUAGACAACAGUGGAUAUGGCACUAUCGUCUUAGACAUCUCAAUUUUAGAGAUCUCAAAGACUUUCAAAAGAACAUAAUGGUAACAGGGCUGCCAUUGAUCAACAUACUAGCUGAAAUUUGUGAAGAAUGUGUGCAAGUGAAGCAACAUAAGGGAAAAUUGAGCAAGUAGACUCUAUUGGUGGAAAUAUGUAUUUUGUCACAUUUAUCGAUGAUCAUAGUACAAAACUAUGGACAUACCUAAUCAAGAUAGAUGACAAUGUAUUUCAUGAUCGUCCGUCAUUGCAUAUAUUUAGUCGAAGAAUCAGACAAAACAAGUGAAAGUUAAGAUAAAAUGAAGAAGAAUAAGGAAAAAAUAUCUAAGCAUGGAAACUGGGGACUUAUUGAAAUUUUGAGUAAAAAAGGGAGCAAAAGUGUGCAACCACUGGAAUAAUCAUGCGCACCAUCACGUAGCAUCGUGCACACAAUGGGGUCUUUAAAGUUGCAUCGCGCAUGCGAUACAAGGAAUCACGCGCGUGAUAAAUACUUUUUAUGGGCUUUUCAGACGCGUUCUGGUCCAUUCUAACGCCUUUAAAAGGGGAUUUUCUGAACUUUCACAAGAGUUACAAAAUUGGGAGAUCUAGGCACUACUUUGAGAGCACAAGUGGUGAUUUUUAUAACAUUAGAAGUUAUUGGAGACCAUUACUUCAACGUAUUUCACAUGUUAUUUUCAUCUAUCAAUUAUGAUAUUUUUAAUUGCAUUAUGAGUAGCUAAGCUCCUCUAGAUUAGGUUGUAUACUGAUGAACCUAUUUCUAUAUUGUUGGAAUCUAUGUUGAUUUAACAAUUGUGUGAACCUUUUGAACUAUAAUUCCAUUCAAUUGCUUCUUGUUCAUAAUGCUUUUUAUGUGAGAUGAUAUUUUAAUAUGAUUUUGGGAACAUAAGGAAUACUGACCAUUAGUCUAUGUGUUGGACCUAGGGAAAUUGUUGUACUUACGCUGGUUGAAUAGGAAUAGGAGACCCUGAGUAGUGGCGUAGAGAAUUAACGCUUUAUACAUCGCCUAACCCUGCUUACGCUGGAGGACUAAGGAUAAAAAGCUCUGAGUGGUGGUUAGUGAGUUAUUUCAUGAGGGAUCAACUAUAACAGUUUUGUUAAUUCGUCGUGGUGUUAUAGUGAUAAGACCAUUCGUACAAGACAUCAAACAUCAACAAUAGAGGAAUAUGAGAUUUUAAAACACAACUUGGCCGCUUUCGUGAUAUUGUUUAAUUGUUUAUUUACUUUUUGCACAGAAACUCAACCCCCCCCCCCCCNNNNNNNNNNNNNNNNNCCCCCCCCCCCCUUUACUAGUUUUUUAUAAAUUGCACACAUUUUGUCUUGCUUGAACGAAGUUCACGUGGAUUCGAUCUUUUUAUUACUUCGACGAUGUCAAUACACUUGUCGAGAAGUCAUCAAGUUUUUGGCGCUUUUGCCAGGGACUAUUAAUUUUUCAUCAAGGCGAUGUUUGUGCAAUUUUUUUUAGUCUUUAAAUUUUAUGUUUUAUUUUCUUGUUUCUCAAAAUGCUAUUGAGGUAUUUUCUAUUUGUGUAUGUACCGUUCAGGAUCAACAUUAAUACCAUUGGAUCCAAAAAUUGAAAGAAACGCACAUGCUCUCAGAAAAGCUGUUAGAGGAGCAACUCUGGAAAGAGGAAUACUAGAAGAAGAGUAAUUAUCAAGUUAGUCAUACUCUGAAGAUGAAGCUGUAAUGGCAGAUGCACAACCCCUAACUAUGGGGGAUUAUUAUAAAUGAACCGAUGAAGGACACUUCUCCAGAGGGUUUGUACCGGUAGACCCUUCUAACUUUGAUAUUAAAAAUUAUGUGCUUUAAGGUUUGAGAGAAAAUUUGUUCGGCAGGAACACGAUUAGAGACCUAUGGGUGCAUCUUACACACUUCUAUGAAACAACUUCAAUGUGAAAAUCAAUUGAUGCCACUGAAGACCAGGUUAAAUUGAGGUUGUUUGGGUUCUCACUAAUUGGAAGGGCGAAGAUUGGUUACUUUUCCUCCCGAAUGGAACGAUACGAACAUGAAAGGAAUUAGAGGAUAAAUCCCUGGAAAGAUUUUUCACUACUACUCAGUUUACCGAGCGCUAAGCAGAAAUUGUGAGGUUUGAGCAGUAGGAAAUUGAGUCACUUUAUGACUCUUGGGAAAGAUUCAAACUUUUGUUACGCAGAUGCUCGAAUCACAACAUGAAUAAUAUAGAGCAGAUGCAAAACUUCAUUAAAGGUCUCAAAGUCAAACUCACGUAUUUUUGGAUGCUUCUACGAGAGGUACUAUCUGAAAAAUGAAUGAACCAUGGGUAAAAGAUAUCAUUGAGAAAAUGUGUAUAAUUGAGUACCGAUCCAAGAACGAAAGGUCGAUCAAGAUGGGAACUGUGGGCACGCCUAAAGGUAUGUUACCUAUUGAUACCCACAUUGCUCUUUUAGCUCAGAUUGAAUUAUUAAAUAAAAAGCAAGCUGGAAGAAGCUUAGUUAAAGCUAACGUAAGUCAGGUACAAGCACUUAAAAGCGAUUUAUAUGGAGGAUAACAUGCGAAUGGAAGUUGUUCAUUGGAAGGGACAAGUGAGGAGGUAAAAUUUUAUAAUUUUUAAAAAAAAUAACUUGUAUUCAAACACAUAUAAUCCGGGUUAAAAAGACCACCCAAAAUUCCUUUGGAAUAAUAAUCAAAAUUCAAAUGCUAACUAAGGGAUGCAACAAAGCCAACAAGCUCUGUUUCAAAGAAAUCCAUCACAAAUGGUAGAGACCUUGAAAAUUUUCAUUAAGGUCACUCAAAGUAGCUUUGCUAGGGUAAAUAAGACCCUUGAAGAAAUGAGUAGAAACUAGGAUGCGUCUAUCAAAAUUUUGGAGAUGAAGAUUGGUCAAUUAUCCAGACAAGUAGCUACUUUUCCAAGCUCAAGUGGAGGAUUCACCAGUAACAUUGUUGAUAACCCUAAGAAUGAUAACCCUAAAUAUAGGUUUAGGGGAAAUUACUGAAAAGGAUAAGGAGGAGAUAGUUAAAGAACGUGUGGUUAAGAUAGAUGAGGGUACAAAUCAAGGUGACCAAGAGGAAAGAGGAGACAUCAUUGAUCAACUUAUUGACAAAAAUUCUCCUCGGGGGAGAACAAAGAAGCAGAUCAUGACUGAACCAAAUCCUCCUUUACCAGAUCACGUAAAACCACCGUACCCAAUAAUUAAAAAGAAAGUGGUUUAAGAUGAUGAAGCGAGAAUGUUUGCAAAGUUCAAGGAAAUUCUAGCUACUCUCCGGGAAAGUAUUUCGUUCCAUGAAAUUUUAGAACUAAUGCCUAAGUUUGCUAAAUUUAUGAAGGCGUUACUAAAUGGGACGGAAGAGAAAAGGAUCAAGGAACAUGUAAACAUGACCGAAAAGAAUGAUAUGGUAAAACCUCAAUCCUUACAACCUAAACUAAAAGACUCAAGUAAAUUUAUGAAGGAGUUAUUAAAUGGGACGAAAGAGAAAAGGAUCAAGGAACAUGUAAACAUGACCGAAAAUGAUGAUAUAGUAAAACCUCAAUCCCUACAACCUAAACUAAAAGAAUUAGGUAAGUUUACUAUUUCCUAUAAUAUUAGUGGAUUCAAUAUUCUGCAUGCUCUAUGUGAUAUGGGAUCUAACAUAAAUGUCAUGCCACCGAAAACUGUCAAAGAAUUAAAAGUGGGUGAGAUCACACCGAGUAACAUGACUCUCAGUCUAGUUGAAUUGUCUAUUACUCAUUCAAUUGGUACUUUACGCGACAUAUUAGUACCUAUCGACGACUUAUUGUUUCCUAUAGAUUUUAUAGUGCAUGAUACAAAAGAAGAUUCGGGAGGAUCUAUUAUUCUUGGACAUCCAUUCUUGGCAAUCGGGAAAGCAAAAGAUUGAUGUGUAAACUGGUCAACUUAUCUUGAAGUCAAAUAAAAGGAAUGUGGUUUUCAAGGUAUAUGACUGGACACCUUAUGUGGAUAAUUUGGAUACUUUCUACUAUCUGGAUGAAAAAGGUAGGAAAGUAGAUAAAGGAACAAUGAGAAAGAAAGUGACAGGCGUGAGGGUGUCCCUUGCGCCUGACGUACCUUAGACAUGGAUUAUCAAGCUAGUGAUGUUAAAAAAGUGUUUGAUGGGAGGCAACUCAUCAAUAAGAAUUUAUUUUUUUAUCAUAGUGAAUAUUAAUUUUUCUAACCUUGUUAAUUUUUGUGCUAUGUUAUUGGAAGAGAAAAUAGGUGAAAGAAGAAAAGAAAGAAAAAGCAAAAGGGAAGAAAAUAGAAAAAGAAAAGAGAGAGGAAAGUUUCAUCCCCCAGAAUCAUCACGUAUGAUAAUAUAAACUAGUUCUUUACAAUAAUAAAAUUUGAUAUUUAUUUAUACAAACACAAUUAUAUAAAGAGAAUAACACACAAAUCACACAUGAUAAUUUUAGAAUAAUUAUACUCUAAUAUUUUUUGAGUCGUGAUAUAUCCUCUUCUUAAAUAUUUGAAAGUUGAAUCUCUCUCACUAAUCUCUAUUCCCCUAUUUAUUUUAAGAAUAAACAUAUUGAAUUAAUAAAACAUAAUUGCACCUUUCUUAAAGGUUAUACAAACAACUACUAAAGUUGAAAAAACUAAAGAGAGGUCAACUCAAUCUUUAUCAAAUUAAAUUAAAGUUUAUUAUAAAACACAAACAACUAGUUCAUUCAAAUGAUAACUUGUUUAGUACACAAGUAAGAUCUUACUUAAUACAUAGAAAUAAGAUCUUACAGAAUAUAGAGAUUAAAAACAUAGGAAUAACAUGAAAAGCUUUUAAAAUGACAUAGACAUUGAUUAACAAAGAUAUGAACUAGUUUCGGGUAUUUCUUAACCAUCCGUCAAGGUAAACUUGUUUGGAGUCAGGGGUGGAUUUUGCUUUCUCGACUCGGAUAUCUUUCAACCAUCCAUCAAGGUAAACCUGGUUGUUGUCAGAGGUGGAUUUUACUGUCUCGGCUCGGAUAUCUUUCAACCAUCCAUCAAGGUAAACUUGUUUUGGAUCAGAGGUGGAUUUUGUUUUCUCUGCUCGGGUAUCUUUCAACCACCCAUCAAGGUAUACUUGGUUGGAGUCAGGGGUAGAUUUUAUUCUCUCGUUUCGAUAAUCUUUCAACCAUCCAUCAAGGUAAACUUGGUUGGAGUCAGACAUGGUUUCUGUUUGCUUUGCUCGAGUAUUUUUCAACCAUCCAUCAAGGUAAACUUGGUUGGAGUCAGAGGUAGAUUUUUCUUUCUCAGCUCGGGUAUCUUUUAACCAUCCAUCAAGGUAAACUUGUUUGGAGUCAAGAUUUUUCUUUCUCAGCUCGGGUAUCUUUUAACCAUCCAUCAAGGUAAACUUGUUUGGAGUCAGAGGUGGAUUUUGUUUUCUCUGCUCGGGUAUCUUUCAACCAUCCAUCAAGGUAAACUUGAUUGGUGUUAGGCAUGGACUUUUCUUUCUCAACUCUGAUAUUUUUCAACCAUCCAUCAAGAUAAACUUGGUUGGAGUCACUUGUAGAUUUUGUUUUCUCAACUCGGGUAUCUUUCAACCAUUCAUCAAGGUAAACUUGGUUGGAUUCAGAGGUGGAUUUUGCAUUCUCUGCUCUGGUAUCUUUCAACCAUCCAUCAAGGUAAACUUGGUUGGAGUUAGGUGUUGACUUUUCUUUCUCAACUCUGCUAUCUUUCAACCAUCCAUCAAGAUAAACUUGGUUGGUGUCACCUGUAGAUUUUGCUUUCUCAGCUCGAUUAUCUUUCAACCAUCCAUCAAGGUAAACUUGGUUGGAUUCAGAGGUGUCUUUUGCUUUCUUUGCUCUGGAAUCUUUCAACCAUCCAUCAAGAUAAACUUGAUCGGAGUUCUGGGAGGAUUUGGUUUUCUCUGAUCGUGUAUCUUUCAACCAUCCAUCAAGAUAAACUUGGUUAGAGUUAGCAAUGUGUUUUCGACUCUUCAAUGGAUUUUUGAGCCAACCAUCAAGGUAAGGUUGAUCAGCUUGUAUUUCUUGUACAUUCUCUUGCUGAAGUUUGAUAUAUCGGGCAAAGCUUCCUUGUCCAUUCUAUAAUACAAUUGAAUAAAUGGAUAUUAGUGAGUUAUUUUUGGAUGGUAUAUAUGAUUACAAAAACAAAAUUAUGUGUUUUAUGAGACACAUUAUGUUACAUAAAUAAGACACAUUCAUUGUAUAUUUCAGAUGGAUAUAGAAUGCGAAAUAAAAAUCAAAGAAAAACAAUUUUUUAAAUUUCAUUGCCGCAUAGAAAAUAUUAUUUUGUCAAAUUAAAUAGAACAACUUGAUUAAGUGAAUGAUGAAAUCAAAUCAAAUAAAGAUGCAAAAUGAUAGAUUGUGAUAAAUAAAUGAUGAAAAAUAUAUGUGUAAAAGAUACAAGAAUGGAUGCAUAACUUACAAUCAAUAAGAGCAUGAUAAAAGGGAGGAGAGACAAAACAUCUUUGUUUGUCAUUUCUUUAAUGUUAUGAUUUUGUGGGAAAAUUGUUUUAAUGUAAAAAGAUGUAUUGAAAUGGAAGUGAAUUGUGCUAUUUAUAAGUGAAUGAAAAGAAAAACUACAUUAAGGACAUUGAGACUUUGGUUGGCAAGAUUAUUUUUUUAAAUAUUUAGUUUAAAUUAUUUUUUAAAUGUUUAGUUUAAUUGAUAAGUUUAUAUGUCUAAGAAAGAUCAAUUUACUAAGAUUUAUUAUUUACAAGAUCUAUUAGGUGUGUUGUUUUGAGUUAUAAAAAAUAUUAAAAAAAUUGUUUGUUUGAUAUAUUUUUUUAAUUAGAAGCUCCUAACUAAAUCCUCUUAGUUUAAAAUAAAUAAAUUUUAGAACUGCUACUGCAAUUAUUUUUAUUUUAAAAUUAAAAAUGAUUUUCUAAAAAUCCUUAAUAAAAACAUAUUAAAAUGACAAAGGUGAUUUUGUUAAAUGUUAAACAAACAUUUAUUUUGAUAAGUUAUUUCAAAUAACUUAAAAUUUCAUAAAUUUAUUUUAAUUUAUAAUUAAAGUGGUAAUUAUGAUAAUCUCGCCUCUUGAGUUCUAAUAUUUGAGCUAAUAGUAUAAAUAUGUUUUAGUUGAAUUAGAAUUUGCAUUAGUGAUAGUUUCAAUUUUACAAUUAAUUAGACUAAAAUAUUGAUGUUCGUCAUAUAUAUAUAUAUAUAUAUNUAUAUAUAUAUAUAUAUAUUAAAUAGUAAUUAUAUAUUAUAAAUUUUAAUUUUGGGAAAAAAAUAUUAUUUCAAUAUUUUAAAAUUUUAAUAAUUAUUGUUUUAUAAAAUUAAUUAUAAUGAGUAUAAUAUUUUAAUUUUAUUAUCAUCAAAUAUACCCUACAUCAAAAUUCACAAACUUUAAAUAUAAAUAUCGGGAUCCACUUAAUUGAAUUGGAAUUUAAACAUCAAAAUUUAGACAAAUGUUAAAUUUUGAAGCACUUGGUUUUUGAAUCAUGACUCUUCUACAACCAACUCCUAGGGACUUACUACAUAGCCAACAAUGAAUCCAAAAUAGUUUCACAAGAAACACUAAAAUACUGUGUUGGCCUUUGCAUGUUUAAGAUGUUCACAUGUAGCUGGGGUUUGCGUGCUUAUGAGCUUACCUAAUAGUAAGUUAAAAAAACAAUAUAUUAUUAUACUGACCAGUCUAAAGAGAAAUAGAUAAGUUACUGUAUUUGUUAUUAUAAUCAAAUAUUAUCUAAAAAAGAAAUAAAUUAUAAGGAAUAUGUUUUCAUUAUUUUUAUCUUUAUUUAAAGAAUAUAAAUAUUUUUUAAUUAAUGAUAAAUAAUUGAUUUUAAAUGUGAUUACGGUUUAUAUCUUUAUCUAAGAAAAUAAAUGAUAAAAUGUGAAUACUCAUAUCUAAAAUUAAAUAUUUAUCCAAUUAUGUAGGCCAGCCUCAUAUUUAUUGUAAAAAUUUUAACAAAGUUUAAAAUAAUGAAAAUUAGAAUAAUGGUAUUCCUACAUUAAAUCUUACAUCAAAUACUUACAUUAAAUAUUUUUUACCGUAUUUAAACGAUGAAUAAUAUUUUUAUUUUUAAUAAAAAAAUAUUUAUAUAAAAAUGUUUUUAUUUUUAAAAUUAUUUUUAUAAUAAAAAUAUAAAAUUUAUCACAAAAUAAUUUUAUUAUCGUAUUAACUAUAAAAAUAUAGGUUAUAAAUCACAUAUUUCACUUAUAAUUCAUUAACCAGUAAAAUACAUAAUAUUAAUCAAAUUAUGAUAUUAAAAUAUGAAAUAUAUAAUUUGCUUAAUUAUUAUAUUUUAUAUUUUAAUGUCACAAUUUAUUUAUAUUAUUUAUUUUAUUAAUUGAAUAUAAUAAUAAGUAAAAUAUAUGGUUAAUCAUCUAUAUUUUUAUGAUUAAUACAAUAAUAAAAUUGAUUAGUGACAAAUUUUAUAUUUAUAUUACAAAAAUAAUUAUAAAAAUAUAUCAAAAACGAGUUUAAGACAACGUAGGAAAAAGUGAAGUGACACUCAAAUAUUAUUUGCUCAUUAAGCAAUCAGUUAAAAUUAAAGUGAAUUAACGAAUUAAGCAUAAAGUUUCACACAAUCAAAAUUAGGGAACAAUAAAUCAAUCGAACAAAACAAAACUACUAAGUUUUGAGUGUAAAAUUUGGUGUAAUAUUAAAAAUUAAAAAAAAAUUGAGGUUUAUAAGAUGUAAAAUUAUUUAUUAAACUCUUUUAAUAAAUUUAAUAUUAUGAUAAUUUAUUAUGAUAAAUAAUAUUUAAAAUAAGAAAAGAUUGAGCUUUUAAAGGAUGAAAUUCUAGUCAUUAGAUUAAAGAAAACAUCACCAAAACCUUAUUUCACAGAUGAAAUCGACUACAUAUAUGAUAUAUCAAUUUUCACGCUAAUAUUCUAUCAAUCACCAUAUUUUAUAGCCAUUAGACUAUUUAAUCAAAAUUAUUCAUAAUAAAUUUCAUUUGAUAUUUACUUUUUAAUAGAUAAUAAAGUAGAUAUAUUUAAUCUUUAUUAAAAAAUUAUUAAACAUUAUUGGUAUUAAAUAUGAUUUUAUUAAUUUUAAUUUUGAUAUAAUUAAUGGAUAUAAGUAUUGGCUCAAGAUAUAUCAAAGCCUUUGCCAAAUUUUUAACAAAGAUUUUAAUAAUAAAAAUUAUGAGUGUAAUAUUUAAAAUAAAAAAUUGAGCUUUUUAAAAUGUAAAAUUAUUGAUUGAAUUAUCAUAAAUCAGUUAAGUGUGUAUUUAUGCAAGAUGGGACAUCCCAUUUGCAGGGGCACAAAUUCAACCCACAACAUCUCACUUUUUAUCUUGGAAAAUUCCAAUCAAUAAAUUACUUGAUCCAAAAAAAUCAUAGUAAAUCUUGUUUGAUAUUUAUUUUCAAUCAAAUAUAUGUAAUCCUUAAUGAAACCUUAAACAUUAUUGAUUUUAAAUAAGAUUUUAUUAACUUUAAUUUUAUACCAUUAAUAGAAGGACUAUAUUCUGGAACGAAUUAAUAUAUUUUCGUUAUUCUUAUUUUUAUUUAAAUAUUUAAAUAUUAUUUAAAUUAAUAAUAAAUAAUUGGUUUUAAAUGUGAUGAAGUUUAUAUCUUUAUCCGAAAAAAUAAACGAUAGUGAAUAUUUAUAUUAAAAAAUAACACAAUACACUUAAAUAUUUAAUCUCCUUAACCUAUCUAAAUAUCUAGGCCGGCAUAAGACAUAUUGAAGUUUAGUGUAAAAAAUUUAACAAAGCUUUUAAUUAUAAAAAUUAUGACUGUAACAUUUAAAAUAAAAAAAAUUGAACUUUAUUAUUAGAUGUCAAAAUAUUUAUUAAACACUCUUAAUAAGUAUUAAAUAUAAAUUUAUUAAAUUUAUUUUUGAUACAAUUAAUGAAUAUAAGUACGGGCUCAAGAGAUAUACACGCCUUUGAUAAAAAAUUUAACAAAGAUUUUAAUUAUAAAAAUUAUGAAUAUAACAUUUAAAAUAAAAAAGUUGAUCUUAAAAGAUGUAAAAUUCUUUAUAAAAUUAUUAUAAUAGUUUUUGAUUAAUUAAUAUGCACAGUCAAUAUCAUUUUUUUAUUAUUAUUAUUAUUAUUAUUAUUAUUAUUAUUAUUAUUAUUAUUAUUAUUAUGCGUCGGUGUACAACUCAUAAAAAAAGACGUCAAUCAUAAAUAUAUAUUGGUACAGUGUCGUCAAUUGGAUUGACGCAUCCUCGUAGGUGUUAUAUGCAGGGAUGAAGCUAGAGAUUUUGAACUGUAGGAGCAAUAUAUUAAUAUAUAAAUUUAUUUCUAUUUAUUUUUAAAUCAUAAAUAUAUAUUUAAUUUAUUUUUAAAUCAUAAAUAUAUAUUAUAUCUAUUUUUUAAGAAAUCUAUCUCUAAAACAAUUUUUAUUAAUUUUUUAAAAUUUUAAAAUUUUAAAAUUUUGUAAAUUUUAAAAUUUUAUUAUCAAGAAAAAUAUUUUUUUAUGUAUUUUUUAUGAGAUCAUAAUAUUAACAUAAAAUUCUAUAAAUCAAUUUUUUUAAAGAUCGAGGAAAAAAUUAUUUUAAAAUUAUAACAAGAAAAACAAUUCAAUAUAUUUCAUCUGACAUGUUUUAAUUUAAUUAUUGAAAAUAAAAAAUUCACUAUAUUUUUGGACAAUAUCCUAAAUAAAUAUUCAUAUACUUUAUUAUUUUCAUCUAAUUUUUAGUAAUAUCUUCAUAAUAAUAAUAUUAUUUAUAUAAAUUUAAAAUAAUAUAAAUUUAUAUAUAUAUAUAUAUAUAUAUAUUUAUAUAUAUUAUAUAUAUAUUAAUAUAUAUUAUAUAUUAUAUAUAUAUAUAUAUAUAUAUAUAUAAUAUAUAUAUAUAUAUAUAUAUAUAUAUAUUAUAUAUAUUAUUUAUAGUAGGGACCAUUUGUCUUAUGCUAUUUUAAUUUGUUAUUUCUUAAUUUCCCCGUCUAUUUCAGUGUUUGGAUUAAAAAAAGGGGGGGGUCGGGGGUUCCCUCUUGGGGGUGGGUUUAGUAUUUUAAUGUUUUUUUACUUAAUAUUUCUUUUGUGUUUUUCACAUUCUUCUAUGUCUUAGAUUGACGUCUUCUUUAUUUUGAAAGUGGGUUACUCUCAGAAAUAAUUGAAAAAGUAAAUUAUUUUAGAUAUCUAUUUGAAAAGUUAGAAAAUCUUAAAUAUUAUUCAUUUUAAAUAAUAUUUUAUUAAUAUAAUUUUUAAUACCAUUAAUAGAAGGACUAUAUUCUGGUAUCAACCGAAAGGAUUAUAUUAUUGGACUAUUUUAAAUUUCCUAUUAUAUUGUUGUCGUCUAUUAUCAAUUUAUUUUAUCAAUAAAUCACUAUUUGAAAUUUUAUUAGUAUUUAAGUCUUUAAAUUCAUCUACACCUUUGACUUCUACUAUUAAUUUUCAUUUUCAUUUUUUUAAUGUUUAUAUAACUGGUACAUUGUUAACUUGUUUAUUUAAUAAACAUUAAGCAAUAUUUUUAAAUUAACUUUUUAAUUUAUUUUUAUAAAUUUAUCUAAAGUUCCCUUUUAUAAUUUAAUUAAAAUUUCAACUCUCUUUUUUUAAUUUCUAAUUUUUUUUAUUCAAAUUUUUUUAAUUGACAUUACUCUAAAUAACAUAAUAAAACAAUUUCCACAAUAAACACAAACAAAAAAAAAAUUCAAAAAUAAGAUAAUUGAUUAAAUAUAAAUGAUUUAAAUUAAAAGUAAAUAAAAUAAAAUUGCAUAAAUAAAAUAUAAUUUUAUCCUUUUACAAUGCUAGAGAGGACAUACACUUUAUCAUAGAAGUAACGAUUAAUUAAUGGAGAUGAUGAAUUAACAUAUUUUAUACUCUCAUAUACACAUUUUAGGUUGGAAAUGAUUUGAUAUAAUCCUUUAUCUAACCUGUUUAAAUUUUAAUGGGUUGAAUUUGUCGUUCAACCCACAAUUUCAUUGUCAAAAUUGACAGAAACCGACUUGUUUAUUUAAGGGUUGUGUUCGCGAUGUUUUAAAUAAAAAUUAUUUUUUUAUAUAUUUUUUAAGAUAUAAAAAAUUUAACCCAAUUCAAAUUAGAUGAAACACAUCAUAUAAUGUCUAAUAAAGUUCAUCAACACGACAUAACACUCGAUAAUAGUAUUAAAUUCUAAUAGUAUCAAUGUUAAAUUAUUUUAAAACAAUUAUUUUAAUUAACUCUUUAAUCAUAACAUUUAUUUAUUAUAUUUUUAUAAUACAUUAUAAUAAAUAUAUUAUAAAUAUUCUUAUUUUUAAUUAGAAAUAUAUAAUGAUAAGUUAAUUAAAUAAUUAUGGUUUGUGAAAAACAAAAACAAAAUCAACGUCAAAGUUAUAUGCUUCAACAAUUUAUAUAAUGACUCAUUUUUAAAUAAAAUAGCUUUAAAAAUUAAAAGUUUGAAAAAUAAUAGUUGAUAUAUUAUAUAUUUUAUUUAUUUUUAUGUUGACAAUAUAAAACAUAGACAUUAAUUUUAUUCUUUAACCAUAAUUUUUAUAAUAUAUUAAAAUAAAAAGUAGUUAAAAUUAACUAAUAAAAUUAAUUAUAAAUAGUUUAAAUAAUUUAAUUAUUAUCAAAUAAAAAUAUAUAAAAUAUUUAUUUAGUAAAGAAUAUUAAAACGAAUAACAAAUUAUAUGAGAUGAUAUGACUUUUUUAUAAUCUUUUGUUUUCUUAAGUUAAAUUAUUUAGUAGAUAAAAAAAAAAAUUAAAAUUGAUAUAUUUCUCUCUCUUCUUUAAAUGAUAUUUUUUUUUCUAUUUCUUACCUUUUAAUAGUUGGAUUAAUCAAAUGGUUUAAAAUUGCACAUGAGAGAGGGCAUAAGAGAAAAAAUUGGAGAGGAUCCAAUUCCGAUAAAAAGAUGUGGUAAAUUUAUGAGUAGUUUAAUAAUUUAUACAUAUUUUUAGCCUUAUUAAUUGUCACUUCGUUGAAAAAGAAAAAGGAAAUAAUAAUAAUGAUAGUGAUAAUAAUUAAAUAAUAUUGAAUUUUUUGACAAAUAAUGUUAUUAAAUAUUAUUGAAUAUAAUAGAUGAAAGAGAAAAAAAAAUGAAGAUCUUUGUCUGGCUUACCUCCUCGUUGAAUAGGGUAUGCUAACUAUUAAUAUGCCAAAGCCUCUUUAAAAAAUUAAACAAAUCAAUUAUAGGAUCCGAUAACUAUUAAGGAAUUUCUUAUGUCAUCAUAUGAAAUGGAAAAACUAUACAAAAUUUAAAAUAUUCAUUCAAGUUUAAAGAUGCAUCUUCGAAUACACAUUUGUAUCACCUUAUGACGCACUAAAUGAGCGACACCCUAAAGUAAAAUAAAAUCUUAUUCCAAAGAUACAUCUCUGAGUAUUUUGAACAAAUAUAUUGAUAUUUAAGCAAGCGUCCUCAGCAUGACCAGAUACCUGUAUCAUACACUCAGUUGCUGUCGUAUCUUGUCCAGUAAGGGGCAAUUGCGCCAAAAGAGAUUCCGCAUGCAACUCCUCCCUAAAAUCACAAGCAUAAUCCUAAUGUGCCUUGUUCAUUUCAUGUCGGAUACAUAGGGCAUUCUAUAGAGGAUUAUUUGGUCCUCAAGGCCAUAAUGCAAGAGUUAAUUGACCAUAAGGUUUUGUCAUUCUUUGACGCAUGACCCAAUGUCAUAAACAACCCGUUGCCAGACCACUGUGGACAAAUAGUGAAUGCAGUUAGUGGCGAAGAUUGCUCAGAUUCAGUUGCUUCUUCAGAGGAGUAUCGAUGCUAGCAAUAUCAUAUUGAUUCAAUCAUGUAUCAUUUGUAAUCCUUUCUUGUUUUUUAAAUGUUGUUCAUUUGUAACUUGUCUGGUUUUUCAGAUGAUAAUAAUAAUGAAAUAAACGUGCAUGUUUUGCUUAAAUCCAUUCGUGUCCACUCAUAUUUUAUUUUAUCAGUAUCAAACUGUUUGUCGAACAAAAUCAAAAGAGAAUGAUGCAAUUAAAAAUACGCAAGAUCGCUGCCUGUAUGGUUUUGAAUAAGAUCGUGCUGAUGAUGUAAGGCAUUGUUCAAUCCCUAAACACCGGAGAUAUAAGGAAGAUAAUCCCUAGUCAACCCCUUUGGGUAUUGUAAUAGGAGUUUCUUUCUUGAACACAUAAAACCCUCAUGCUUAACCAGGGGCAGAGUAUUCUUCAGUUAGUUUAGACUUGCAUUCAAAUUUAAGAAGGACAAUAUCUCAUCCAGUGAUCAAUCAUAUCAUAUCCCUCUCAAGAGGAUGGAAUCAUAAAUCCAGGAUGGUUAUCCCUUACCCAUCAAAAAGAGUGAGAUAAUCACGACUCGUGCAACAAAUCGAGAAAGCUGUGUCACAAGGUUUUCUCUAGUACAAAAAUAAAAGAUGAAACAAAAUUAAAAGCCCGCUAAGUCAAAAGCUUGAAAACAAGAUUGACUUAGGCAAAAGUCAGGGUAUCCCGGUGGGAUGCAGACCCAAAGGAUCAGCCUAGGAAAAAAUAAGGGUAAACAAAACAAAAGAAUUAGAGGAUCAAUACCAAAAUUCGUAGCGAGAGCAAAUCCCUGUGACUAUAAACAAAAGCAGAAGGCGAGUGGCUAUCGCUCUAAAUUCUCGUGGAUUCCUUAAACCAUCAUUGUUGAUAUUCAAAAUCCUUUCUGAAAGACGAACGCUUAUUUUAAGCUAAUUGAAUAUAGAACUAGAUAACAUCACACAGAAUGGGUGGGUUAGAAUAGGUUUUGAGCCUUAUAUCCUUUCUUUCUGAAACCGUGAACUAGGCCAAGUUACAACCCUCAAAAGACCUAAUUGAAGUAGGGUUUAUUUCAAAAGCAUACUAUGGUAAGAUCGCGUUAAGCUGACUCCUUAAGAUUUUCUUGUCAUAUGUUUGAUACUGAUAUGGCAUUCUAAACAGUGAUUUGUUCACUAGAUGUCAUAAUCUUAGUGAACACACUUGAGUUUUCAAAACUUGCAUGAGCAUGACAUUACAAUUAUCAUUUUAAAAAUGAGCGUUUUACAUGCGAACAUGCAUUUGACACCAAGGAAGCUUACAAUGGGAAAGUUGAUCAAAUUCCUAAUAUCCCAUAGCUCAAAUCUCUUCAAGAGCCCGUCAAUCUAAGGCACCAUGCCAAGAUUUUGCAAAUCUCUCUGAAUCAGCUGUAUAAGGGAAAAGUUUAAUUCGAAGUUCAUAUUGGGGAAGGCCACCUCAAGAGCAUGAGAAGUCAAUCACUCCUAAGAUAAUUAACUAGGAGGAUAUAGUUUCAAGAUGCUGGGGCAAGCCAGUUUGAGAUACUCAGAUGACGAGAUCACUCUAAUUUGUAAUUGGAGAAAUUGGUGCAGAUAUCCAAUACAUUGGGGCAGAGGCAGGCUACGCAGGUACAAGCUCUCUCCAUGUUCUAGACAUAAUCCAGAGGUGUGACAACAAUUUUUCAGCUUGAAGUAGGUUCGAAGAAUCACGUCUGGAGGAUACCAUAUCCUAGCCAAAAAUUUCCACCUCCCUCUAUAUGAGCACCUGGAUUAACCAUUGCAUAAAUCAUUAUCAUGAAUAAAUCACGUCGCUUCACUCAUGCAUACCAUUCAUCUAUCAUAGCAUGAAGCCGUGUGUGAGAAUCAAAGGAAUUAAAGCCCAGUAUUUUAUUGGCAUCUCCAAAUUCCAAACUUGCCUGGUACCUUUUUAAACCAUCUAGUUUGACAAUUCUUCCAAAAUCCAAUUUGCUUGGCGUCUUUUAAGCCCAGUUUGCUUGGUAUCUUUUUUCGACCUUUAGGGUCGAUGAUCCUCUUUUCCAACAUUCAUGGUUGAGGAACCUUUUUUCAAUCUUCAGGAUUGAUAACCUUUUUCCAAUCUUUAGGGUUGACGAUCUUUGUUUCUAACCUUCAUGGUUGUUGAAUCUUUUUCCCACCAUUAGGGUGAUGAUAGACUUUGUUUCCGGCCUUUAAGGUUGAUGAUCCUCUUGCUUUCAACCUUUGCGGUUGUUGAAUCUUCUUCCAACCAUCAUGGUUGUUGAAUCUUUUUCCUACCUUUGUGGUUGUUGAAAAUUUUUCCAAACCUUCUUGGUUGAUGAACUUUUUCAAUCUAUGUGAUUGACAAACUUUUUUCCAAACUGUAAGGUUGAUGACCUUUCUUUUUUUCAAACCUCUGUGUUUGACUUUGUUUCCAGUUUUUGAACUGAUGAUUCAUUUGUGAAACCCCUUGUUUGCAAGAAUAUUUUGGAACUUUCAUGCGCUCUUUGAUUAGCAUACAUGGCCACAUGUUUCAAAAAUGAUAAAAAAAAAUACAAUUUAGCAUGCAUAUCAUGAUCGUCAUUUGCCAUUAAUAUCCCCACAGUACAUCAAAAUCACCAGCAAAUAAACCCGUAAAAAAUCAAGUUGAUAUCCCUAUAUCUCAUACAAUUGUCCUUCAAGGAAAAAAAUUCGGAUACUUCGAUAUUUAAUCCACGCAUACCUUAAAAAGCUGAAAAGCUCUCGCAAUUCGACCAUUCAGGUCUAAGCUGAUUAAAUAGGGGCAGAUGUCGUAUCCUAAAUUUGUCCUCCCUAUUUCAUCUUUCCACUCAAUUUAUCAACUUGAGAUUCAUCUGUACCACAUUCAUAUUUCAUUCAUAUGCAUCAUUCAUUAAUCAUACAUUCAAAGCUUGUGGCCUGCAAAUCUAAGGUUUGUUGAUGGGACAUGGCUCUUCAUAGGCUCAUCAUGUGAGGGGAAACCCUAAUUUCAUACUCUUUUAGACUUUGAUUCAAAAAGGUUACAAUCACGACAUUCAUUUAGUCAUUCAAACCCUUAUUCCUGACUUUGUUGUCUUUCGGUCUCACAAGCUUUCACCUGUGUAUCAUGAAGCCCUAAUCAGGGAAGAUUUGGUCCGGUUGCACCUUAUGGCUUGACUUUUCAUCUUGUGUGUGCUGGAAACCCUAAUUCAUUAGGGAGAGGUGUUUGACUAUCCUAUUAUGCAUGCCUACUGGUUUGGAAUUGCACAUGAUUCAGGUCUUGUUUCAAGCAUCCCUAUGCCCAUCACAUUUAACUUUGCAUAGGCCAUUAACUCAAGUCUUUUGGUAUGGGCAAAUGCAUAGACCCAUAUGCCCGAUUCACUUCAUUCAUAUGAUGCAGAUGAUCAAGGAUGAUUGGUCCAUUUAAGAUUUGGUUCCAUUGGUUCAUUCUUUGUUUCUUAAGCAAAAUCAUUAUUUCAUUUGAAUUAUGUCAUGUGAAAACCCUAAUUCAAAUUUCACAGUUGACUUCGAUUAACUAGUUUACCAAAGUCAACCAUCCCUUUUUGAGUCCAUUAAACUUUUUCAUUAAUCAUUCACACUUAAUCACAUUUUUCGAGCUAUUUGAUGCAUCCAAUUCAUUCAAUUUUCAAAUGUAAUUUUGACCAUUCCAAACAUUUUAACCAUUCAAGGUUAACAAUUUAAGUUCUAUAAACCAUCUUCUUUUACAAUAUAUUUCCACUCAUAAACUUUCCAUAAGCAUUCAAAAUUUUCCAUCAUAAAUAUCAUUCAAUACAAUAAACUUGUCCAUGGUUCGCGCAUUUAAUCCUUUCUUUCCAUCAUUUAUUUGCAUUGCAAUUCUAUUCAUCCAAAGUAUCAAACUUUUCAUAAUCACCAAGUUCCAUUCCAAUACAUUCAAGUUUUACCUACAACUUUCCUUUACAAUUAUUACAAACCAUUGUUUUACAUUGUUACACUAUGUAUCAACCAUAUCCUACAUAACCAUAUUAACCAUUCCAAAUGAUCAAGCAAGAUAGAAUUUCAUUCACUAACCAUACAAGAUAUCUCAAGCAUACAUUUCCAUUUCAAGCUACAUUAUAAUGCAUCAUAAUCCAACAAUAUCAUGAAGCAGCCCAUGGCCUCUUAUGCAUUCACUAGAAAUAUUUCCAUAGCACAAAUUGGCCAUGUCCCAAAAGAUAAUGCACAAAAAAAGCAUGAAAUAUCAUGAUUCUGUUAGGCUCUGUUUUGAAAUUAUUUACCUGAUGAACAACAGACAUAAAUGCCGAUCGAGGUUAUAUGGAAGCUUCAAAUACUGAAAAAGAAAACACACCCAUUGCAUUGAUGGCUACAGCUCUUCCUUUGAAACGCCAUUGAAGCUUCAAUUCGUGGAGCUUAAACCACUGCACCUCUUCGACCUCACGCGGAAAACGCAACAACAGCAUAUGCUUAGAAGAACAGAGGGAGAGGAAUAAGAUUGCAGCAACAUAACAGAAAGAGUGAAGGAACAAAAUUGAGACGAAGAAAAAGGGAAGAGAUCGGUCAAUACCUGUUCGCAGUUGAAGCAUCAAAUUUGGUAAGUCCUUUUGAUUUUCUUUUCUUUCUGUUUAAGUCCGCGAGCACAAUGUUGGAUGGAAUCACAUGUCGAUGAGGUUGAACACAAUCCAUGAACUCUAUUAUCUGUUAGAAUUAGAAUAUUAGGUUAUUAAGUGACAAUUAGAAAUUGUGAUUUAAUUAGAAUUCUAGUAUUGAUAGAUUUUGGAUUUUCAUUAGAAUUAAUUAGAAAUUUUAGAAUUUAACUAGGGUUUUAGAAUCUAUUUUAGACUAAUUAGAUUUUCACAUAAUUAUAUAUAAUUAUAAUUAAUUAGUUUUUGAUUAAAUGUUGAUUAUUAGAAACUAUUUUCCUAAUUAAUCCAUUUAUGCAUAUUGACUAUUUUACCCUUUAGAGGUUAUGUUUGUCAUUUUAGCCAUAAGGACAUGUUCCUUUAGGUUUAGAUCUUGACAUCAAUUUUUAAUCAAGUCUUGACCAAUUAUAUCAUGAUCCCUUAGGAUAGUUUGUAACAAAUUCUAACCAUUAGAUUAGGAUUUAAUCUAGUUUUCAAACUAAUUCAAACCUUCUGAUUCAAAUUGAUCAAAAGCAAUUUUGAUCAAUUAAAUCAUUUGAUAUUGUAUAAUCCCACAGUCUAAUUUGAGUGACACAAAUACUCUUGGUCACCUAAUGAGACUUUUUCGGUAAGUUGUGGAGCUCGAGGCCUCAAGUCAUAUUUUCAAUCAAGGCAUCAUCGGUCAGACCAAGCAGUGGAUAAUACAAGGUACAUCAAAGGUGGCAUCUUUGAGAGCUUGUCAAAUCAAAGUUAUGAUUGUGUGGCAUGAGCCUUGAGUAAUGAAGAAAGAAUGAGACUGAAGAAUUCCUACCCCCAUCAACACAAAGGGCAUCAUGUCAGCAACUUGUUAAUUUUGAUUCAAGUUGCAUGCCAUGAGCCUUAAGAAACAAAGAAUGAUGAGAGUGGGGAAUUCCUAUCCUUGUCUAGAAUAUUCUUGGGUACGGGACGAAUGACCCAGUUGCUCAAAGUAUUCGCCUUUUUCCAUAGACUUUGGUGCAAUUUAAAUCAUGCAAUUGACAAGCCUUCUUCUUCAAGCAAGCAUCAAUCAUUCAACACUUCAAUAGUGAAACACCAUUACCCCCUUUAGUAUUGGACUUUCCUCCUGGAUGUUCAUACAUUUCUUGGGAUUAUUACCUUGGGGUCACAUACCCAUCUCGCAAUCAAUUGCUUCAUGCAUUGCCUAUCAGUUCACACUAUGGCAUACUUCAUUGCUUGCCCUCAACGUACAGACCCUGACAUUCAGCCUAUGGAGUACAUACUCUGGCUUUGUUUCUUCCCCAUAAGGUACAGACCUUGGCAACUUCUUGCAGCCCAUAGAGUAUAGACUCUGGCUUUAUUCCUUGCCUACAACAUACCGAUCUUGGCAUCCUUGCCCUAAUGAGUUCAGACUCUGGCCAUCUGAUUUUGUCUAUACAGUACUGACUUUGACAUAUUAUUAUGCCUUAUAGUUAAGACUUUGGAAUUCAUUCAUCCAGCCCAUUGGGUUCAGACUUUGGCAUCGUACUAUUUUGCCCUUAUGGAGUUCAGACUCUGGCAUUCAAAUCAGUUCAUUUGCCUUAUAUAGUUCAGACUAUGGCAUGCUUAUACAUCUUGCCCAUGGAGUUCAGACUCUGGCAACCUUUAACAUUGUCUUGAAGUCAGACUUUAGAAUUAUAUCUCCUUUUCCCUUAUUGAGUUCAGACUCUGAGAAUCUGUUCCUUGCCUUUGUAUUAGUUCAGACUAUGGAAUUCAUCUAUCUUGCCUUGUGGAGUUCAGACUCUGGCUAUAUCUCAUUUGUCCUUAUGGUUGAUUACCAUCUUUGGUAAGUGUCAUACUCUCGCUUAUUAAGCAAUCACCUUGCCUCUGAGCAAUCCUAUCAAAUCUCCCUUUGCUUUCAGUUGUAGUAGGCUAAACUACGAUUGCUCUGAUUUUCUCAUUGCACGAUGAGAAUACAUAGGCACAAGGGUUCAAAUCCUCCGUGAGCAUACUUAUUUAUUACUCCUACCUUAGGGCAUUUCUCCAUCCAUCUCCAUGAUACAGUCAUAUACUACCUUUAUUCACUUCAUGUGAUAUACCCUAUUCUUUGAGCCAAAUACAUUAUACCUUUGUGCUCCAUCUUGUACCCCUUUGUGAACCAAGAGAUGUUUCUGUUGUGAAACCAAAAUUAAUUUCCUUUGUUUUCGGCUAUACCAUAUAGUGGCGAAUGUUCAGACAAUCCAUAUAUCGGUUUAUUCCAGUUUUACUCUUGGGUUCACGCUUUCACCCCUUGUUGGGGUUCAAAAUAUUAUCCUCUGGUUCAGGCCAUACCUUGAUCACAACUUCCUUUUCAUCUCCCACCACUAGUUCUUUGAACUACGAAGUUAUGAAUUCCUCAUUGCACUAUGAGUAUACAUAGGCAUGAGGGCCCUAAUCCUCACCGAGCACUCUAUCUAUUUCUUUUCAUUUUCCCCAUUCUUUUGCGAGUAAUCUUUAGAUACAACACUCAUUCGAGCGAGAACAAUCAAAACGGUUCCCAUGGAGUACCAUAGAUGUUAGGGAUGCUAAUACCUUCCCAUUGCAUAAUCAACUUCCUUACCCAACAUAUCUCUUUCCCCUGGGUUUUAUCGAUGUGUUCGGGUAUAUUUCCGCUAGCUGCAUCACCAACUCCAAAAUCUCAAAAAAGUGUUUUUAAAGGAACUCGCAUUAGCAAACCACCUCCUUCACCGUCUCUACCAAAAAUUUCAUUCAUUGACGAGAUGUUAUUUUUUUCAUAAAUACAUCGAACAAAUCGUCAAUGUUGAGGGUGACGGUAAUUGCGAUUUUCGAGCUAUUUCGAUUUUGCUGGGUAAAGGAGAAGAUGAUCACACACUUGUCUGCCAUCAACUUAUCCAUGGUUGAGGACCCAUAUAGAAUUAUACACACGACUUUACCGAAAGAAACAAAAUUUUGAUGCAAUUUAUGAGUCUUUUAUUCCUUGCAUUAGUGGUCCGAAACCAGAGGAAAAAUGAAUGUGCUUCCCUGAAAUGAGUCAUCUCAUAGCAAGUGCAUCUGAUAAAGUGUGUAUUGGUCUUACAAGAUACGAUUUUUUGGAAACUUUUUUUCCACUGCGCACCACCCAACCUCAAAAUCUAAAUGAUCGUAUUUUGUGUAUUAGAAUACCUUUAAAAUUACGACACUUUGUUCAAAUUUAUUUGAAACGGGAUGUCGUAUACCACUUACAUCAGUGGAGUGGACAACUCAUUCAACAAUAAAAUCCGGGACUUAGACGGGCCAAUUUAUGGAAAAGAUGCAAGAGUUUACCAAAUUGAGCGACAUUGAAAGUGAAUAUAAUGCACAAAAGUCAAAGGGGGAACCACUCAUACUUAUAAAUUUAGCCAUCGACAAAUAUUUCGAUUCGUUUUAGUUUUUCGUUAUCAAUUAAUUGUAUAUAAUUUUGUAUUAAUAGUAAGGGUUAAUAACAUUUUUAUAGAAACAUUCUAGUUGUACCUUGGGGGGAAUGACCCAUGAUUGAUGCUUACGUGUCAUGAUAAAUAUCAUGAUAUAUUUUAGUUUUUAGUUUUUUAAUUACAUAUAUGCUUACGUGGACUUACAGUUUUUUAUUUAUGAAUUAUUUCUAUUUUCAUGUGAAAAUUUAUUUUCUUUUUCAUUUAUUUUAAUCAUAACAAUUAUCAAAACUACUUUAAGAAAGUUCUAAAAUUUUGUCAACAAUGAAAUUCUCAUACGGAUUUGGCAAGGAACUUUGAAAGGAGAUUUGAAAGCGUGAACCACAACCAUAGAUAGGAAGAAGGAGAAUUAGGGUUCAACAUAGUUUGAACCGUGUUUAUGUUUAUGUUAGGGACCGAUUCGGGCUAGACCCAAUCUAGGUUCGGUUGAUCCACUAACCAUUAGUUUUUUUUUUAAAUUAUUUUGUGAGUAUACCAUUUGUUGUUUGGCCUUACCUAUUUGUGACUUGGGCAAACCCCACUUUAGGAGCCAUCUUGUCUUAUUUAUUUAUUUAUUUUUGUCUUUUCCUCAACCUUUUUUAUUGCAUUAAUAUUUUAGUAAAAGAAUAUAUAAAAAACAUAAACUUUUUCAUGAAAAAAAAGGUGGUUUACAAUUUUAUAAUAAUUGAUUUUUAUUGUUAUUUCAAUUUUUUUAUCAAUAAAUAAAUAAAAGUAGACAAAAUUUGUUUGAUGCGUGCCUUAGGGUUUCUUUUUCCUAUCAAGCUAUAUCUCAAAAGAAGAAUAUUUCUUUAAGAAUUAUUCCUUUUUUUAAAAAUAAAUUUGAUUCCAUUAUGGUUUGAUUUGUUUGAUCUUUAUUGAUUGUGUGAAUGCUUGUAUUGUUCAUACUUGAUCCAUGAUUUAUGUAACCUUUCACUUAGACCUUCGAUUGUUAGUAAGAUAAAAGUAAAUGUGCAAUAAAAUCAACCUUUUAAAAUAAGAUUCAAACACUCUAUCGAUAUGAAUUUGGUUUUAAAAAGAUCUCACUAUUUUCACCAUCCAUUCAAAGUUAAUUUCAAGUCAUCUCACAAAUUAUUUUCAUGCUAACACGAAUAAACCCUCGAUCAACAUCGAGUUUCUUUUUUGCUUAUUAAAAACUUGAAAAUCAUUUUCAUAAUAAAUCAGUUGAAAAAGGAAUGGGAGGCGCACACAUCUCUACUCCUCGAAUAAGUGAGUGAUUGGUAGACUCCAUAUUGCUCUAACUUUCAUCUUCCGAAUAAAAUAUCCUAAAUAAACAUGGAUGAAAAAGGAAGAGAGGCGCACACAUCUCUACUCCUCGAAUAAGCAAGUGGAAGACACACACCUCGCUACUGCGAAUAUUUUUUCUUCCGCAAAUAAUUUUCAAAAUAUUAAAAUCAAACAAAAAAGGAAUGGGAGGCGCACAACUUGUUGCUCCUCGAAUAAGUGAGUGAUUGGUGCGCGCCAUAUUGCUCGAGCUUUCAUCGUCUUCCUACAAAACACUAAACCAAUCAAACCUAUUUUCUCGCCCCCUUCGUUCAUCCCAAGACGAUGUAAACACGCUUCAUUUCUACCAUGCGCAAGAAGUUAUAACUCUUUUCGCUCGAAUGUGACGAGAACAAAUUUGUGAGAAUCUGGAUUAUGUUAUUCAUUCUAAUGUGAUGCCAAUGUUCACUUCUCCAUGUUUUUAGUAGCAAAUAAUGUUUUCGCUCGAAUGCGACUAAGUACCUUUCGUAAAAACUGAUCAACAAACAAAAAAUUUCUACCCAGAACUACGUAGCCUUGAGUUUUUCAUCGCACCUGAGAUAUGUAGAAGCGAGACCCGUAAUCUCGUCAGGCACAUUAAUAAAAGAAAACAUUUUGCGACCCAUUUUGUUUUCUCUUUACACUUUUGACCACUCGAAGAAAACAUAUGACAUAAGCUAAAAUUUCAACCACAAAUCUAACUAAAUGGUUCCCGUUGAGUGUAACAGAUGUGAGGGGUGUUAAUCCCUUCCCCUCGCAUAAUCGACUCCCAAACCUGAAUUUGAUUGUGACAAACAUUUUCUUUUUCUUUUAAGGAUUUUAUCAAUAUUUCCCCUCCUUUUUGGAAUAAAUCAAUUUUGAUGGUGACUCUGUUAUCUUGACCAUGCAAGCGCUCAUGGUCAUUUUUCGCGUCGCGACACUACUGUACAAUAGUUAUCUGUAUCAAAAACUAAAAUAUUUGUGUCUGUAUCUUGUUGUCUAGGAUUGUUGGAAACGAGAAGGAUGGAAAAAUAAAGUGUGUUUAUUUUUCUAUGUUGUAAAAUCACAAGGUGGUUUUUCUUGGUGAUUAAGUUAGAAUCUUGUGUAUAGAAUCUAGGUUUAGGCUUGUACAAAAUAAUAACAAUAUUGAAAUCUCUUAUAGUGUCUAAGGGGACUGACAUACUCUCAGAUUGUGAUGGGAACUAGUAUGAUUUUCGAUGUUAUUUACUUUAUGCACUUUACUGCUUUCACCACCUAACCAUAAACCAAAAAAUAAAGAAACAUUCAUCUCUAAAAACAAUGUACUUACAGCGAGAGCAUGAUAUUCCGCUUCAGUACAUGAACAAGACACAAAAUUUUGUUUCUUUAAGCGCUAUGAAAUCAAGGAGUUACCCCAUAACACAUAAAUGCUAGUGUAUAUUUCCUAGUAUCCAGACAACGUGCCCAGUCGAAGUCAGCAAAACCAUGCAGCUUUAAGGAAUUAUUGCUGGCAAAAAAAUGCCUCGAGUAGGAAAUGCCUUCAGAUACUUCAAAACUCGAGUGGCUUCCUAACGGUGAGGAACCAAGGGGUUAGCCACAUAUUGGCUAAGGUGACGGACAAUAAAAGAAAUACUUGGCCGUGUGUUUGUAAGGUAAAGUAGCCUGCUAAUUAAUUUACAAUAUGAAGAAGGGUCCUCUAAAGGAGUACCUUCACUAGAUGAGAGCUUCAUGUGAGGAUCAAUAGGUGUGGAGACAAGCUAAGCCCCAAGAAAACCAGUGUCCUCAAGCAGCUAGAGCAUGUAUGUUCUCUGGCUGAGAAAGAUACCAGAAGUAGAACGUGCAAUUUUGAGGCCCAAGAAGUACCUUAGUUGACUGAGAUCUUUAAUGCAAAAUUGUUGAUGCAGGAAAGACUUUACUUGUUUAUUCCACAAUCGAGUCGCUUGUCAAGACAAUAUCAUCAAUGCACACUGAUAAGGAAGUGAAACCAUGAGGUGUGAUCUUGGUGUAUAAUGAGUGACCAACAACAGAUUGAGAGUAGCCUAAUGAAAUGAGAGCUGAAGAAAGCUUAGAAUGCCAUUGUCGACUGACCUGUUUCAGUCCAUACAAUGAUUUUUUUAAGUGUACAAACCUUGUUGGAUUCAAGAUUACCAUAGCCAAGAGGAAGAGACAUAUAUACUUCUUUAUUUAGGUCUCCAUGAAGGAAGGAGUUUUUAACGUCCAGUUGCUCAAGGUGCCAGUGUUUGACAGCUGCAAGAGAUAAAAGAACACGAACAAUAGUAAUUUUGGCAAUUGGGAAAAAAGUAUCAAAGUAAACUACAUGUUCUAAUUGAGUGUAACCCUUGGCUACCAACCGGUCCUUGCAUAUAUCAAUAGAGCCAUUGGCAUGGUACUUGACUUUGUAUAUCCAUUUACAACCAACUGGAGUUUUGCCUAGAGGAAGGUCCACAAUGGUCCAAGUUUGAUUGUCCUUAAGAGAUGCAAUUUCAGUAUCCAUGGCCUACUUCCAACAGUCAUGUUUAGAGGUAUGAAGAUAGGUUUUUGGUUUAAAUAUGGAUGAAAUAGAGCAACAAAAGGAUUUGUAAGUUGGAGAGCAUUUUUUAUAUGAUAUAAAGUUGGAGAUAUGGAAGGUAGUGGAAGAGGAGUUAUUUAUAGAGGCAUAUCUAUUUGAUGAAAGAAAGAGAUUACAAUAAUAGUCUUUGAGAAAACUAUGAGGGUGUUUGGUUCUCAUUGAUUUUUGAGUUAGUAGUGUGGAUUGGUUUUGGGGAAUGUCUGAGGGAGGGUUAGAAUUAUGUGGAUACAUGUUAUCAACUAAGGUAUCAUGAAGGAUGUUGGGUUCAAAGUCAAUAACACUAGGAUCUUGGGUACUUGGUGAUGGAUUAAAAGUAGUUUGAUAUGGACUUGAGGUACUAGAGUCAAUCAAAGUAGGUUGAUUGAGACUUGGAAGGUUAGGGAUAAGUCCUGUUUCAGAAGUAAUAGGAUAAUCAUAAGAAUUUGUGACUGGUGUGACAACAGUAGAAGGAGUGGACAUAUGAGGCUCAGGGGUCAGAGUGAGGGCCUGAGGUGUAACAUAGUCAAUGUCAUAGGUGAUGUCCAUCAAGCUAUGAAUAUAAGUAGGGAGAUUUGUGGCAUUACUUUUGAAUGGAAAGGUGGUUUCAUAAAAGAAAACAUUUAGAGAUAUGAAUAAGUUAUGAGACUGAAGGUCAUAGAGAAUAUAACCUUUAGUACCAUCUUUGAAACCAAGGAGAAUGGCUUUUCUAGCCCUACCAUUGAAUUUUGUUAUGUGGGUCUGUAAAGUUGUUGAAAAACAUAAACAAACAAAGACUUUCAAAUGAACAAUAAUAUAUUAAGUUUUGAAAAAGCAACUCGUAUGGAGAUUUUGACUGAAGUUGAGGACUAGGGAUCCUAUUAGUCUUGUGGACAACAUGUUGAAUACUGAAGUUCCAUAGGUUUAAAGGAAUAUGUGUUAAUGUUUUCUCUCAACCACCCCAUUUUGCUGUUUUUGUUAUAGUGGUGGUGGUGGUGUGUGUGUGGCGGGGGGGGGGGUGUUCUACACAAGAUUUAUGGCGACUUAUGCCUUUGGAAGGGAAAAAGGAACUAAGAGUUAGGAACUUUGAACCCUUAUAUGACCUAAAGCAUUUAAGAGUGGUUUUGAAUUUAUUUCCUAUUGAGGCAAUAAAAUGUAUUACACUUUGUUUUGUUUCAGAUUUUUCCUUAAUAAAAUGACCCAUGUAAACCUUGAAAAUCCAUCAAUAAGAGUUAAGAAAUAUUUAUAGCCUAAAAUAGAAUCAGUAGAAAAGGGCCCCCAUAAAUCAACAUGUAAAAGUUCAAAUGGAGCAUGAGUAUGAGUAAGACUAUUUAGAAAGGGGAAUUUCUUUUGUUUUGCAAAAUGAAACGAAUCACAAGGGUUCAUGUUAUUUUUACAAGGGAUGGGGGGAAAAUGUUUAGCCAUAGUUUUCAUACUGAAAUUAGAAAGGUGGCCUAGUCUUAGAUGCCAAAGUUCAAAGGAAUUAGAAAUAACAUAAUUACUAGUGGAAUAAACAUCACUAAUAUCUAUCACAUAGAGGCCUCUGUGCCAUUUAGUUGUACCAAGCAUUUGCUUUGGAUGGUUCUGCAAAAUAUGACACAAGUUUGAAGAAAAUUUCAGAUAGCAAUCAAUAUUGCUAGUCAAUUUUGUGACUAAGAUUAAAUUAACAUGAAAGUUAGGAAUAUAGUGAAAAUUGUAAAGAGUUAAGGAAAGGGAAAUGACAAUGUUUCUAGAUAUGCAGGCAGUCAUGUGAGAUUCAUUUGGUAAGGAGAUUAAGCUAUUGAUUAACUUAACUCACAAAGAAAGAGUCGCCACAACGCUUUUAUUAUUUCCAAAGAAAAUAGAAAAAGAACGAACCAAACCCAAAGAAGUUUAAAAAAAACUAAUAAAAACAAAGAUAAGGGUCCAGGGGUUGGUUAUGUACAGGGAAGAUACUAGCACCCUAAGCAUCUAUAGUACUCUACAGGAACAUCUUUGAAAAUAUGUGCAUUUAGAUUUAAAAUGGUGUUGUUUACAAAAGAUUAGGGAGAUGAAAAGAGAUUUUUUUUUUAUAAUUUUUGUGUUUGCCAAGACUUUCUGAACCUCGUGCCUACGUACCCAUAAAGUGCAAUGGCGAAUCAAAACCUCGUAGUUCGUGGUAAAAAUAACAAAGAUGUUUGCUUUGAUUCAUUUUUAAUGAAUUUUUUUUUGUCAUUUUAAGAAGAACAUUCAACUAGCCAUCCACAAGUAUGGGAACUUUGCAUCACCAUGAGAAGGACUCUAACUUGGAUAAAUAUCAACUAGCUCUCUUAUAUAGAAAAGAAUUAUUAUCAAUACUAUGGGGAUAGAAAAAUUAUAUAUCAACUAUGGAAAUGACUCGUGUCUAAACUUUGAGAAAAAAGUUUUAAAAAGGAAAAAAAAAAGUGCACAAAGGGCACAAAAAGGUUUGAAUGAGUUAUGCAUUUUUAGUUUUUUGAAAUUGGUUUGAAUAUGAUUAAGAUGUAUUAGAAUUUAUUAAUAAAAGAUUUUGAAAAGAAAUCACUUGAAAAAAGUCAAGGUUUAUUGAGGAAGUAGUUCAAGUUUGAAAACAAGAAUGUUUUGAAAAAAAGAGAGAAGAUUUUGAAAAUCAAAGAAGGGGAGGAGAGGAAGAGAUUAUCCUAGAACAUAAAGUAAAAGCUAUGGAGGAAAGAUCCAACCAAGAGAUAACAACAAGAAUUCACUCCUUUGGAUUAAGCCUUAAGCAAGUCAAAUAAGCAAAGAAUAUUCCAUGUAUCAGAUGAAACCAAAGUAGCCAAGCAAAAUCUUCAAAAGAAUCUCAAAGUCAAAGGUAGCAGAUGAAUCUCAAGGUCUCAAAUCAGAAACUCCCAAAAGAUAAACAAGUAUGCCACUAGUUCUCUUAGAUGGAAAAUAAUUAUCAUCAAUACUAUGGGUAUAGAAUAAUUACAUCUCAACUAUGGAAAUGACUCAUGUCUAAACUUUGAGAAAAAGUUUUAAAAGAAAAAGUGCACAAAGGGCACAAAAUAGUUUGAAUGAGUAAUGUAUUUUUUAAGUCUUUUGAAAUUGGUUUAAAUGUGCUUAAUAUUUAUUAGCAUUUAUUAAGAAAAUAUUUUGAAAAUCACUUGACAAAAGUCAAGGUUUAUUGAGAAAGUGAUUCAAGUUUGAAAACAAGAAGGUUCUUGAAAAAAAAAGAGAAGAUUUUGAAAAUUAAAGAAGGGGAGGAGCUAAGAAGAUUAUCCUAAAACAUAAAGUAAAAGUUAGGGUGAAAAAUCUAACUAAGAGAUAGCAAGCUUUAUGACAUGUGUUAAGUAAGAACACUCUCCUUUGGAUUAAGCUUCAAGCAAGUCAAACAAGCAAAGAAAAAUCCAUGUGUCAGAUGAAACCAAAGUAACCAAGGAAAUUAUUUAAAGUAAUCCCAAAGUCAAAGGUACCAGAUGAAUCCCAAGGUCUCAAACUAUAAACUCCCAAACAAGGGUCAAAAUUCUAGUUCUAACUCCGUAACUCCAUAAUAAUCCCAAUGAUAGUAACCUCAAGUCCAUGAAUUAAGAGAACCAAUUUUUAGGGGUUUUUUCCUUUAUUAAUGUAUUUAAAAGAAAAAGAAGUCUAAAUGGACAAAGAAAAAAAGGCAUAAACAUAAACAAAGGUCCAAGUGGACAAAUAGAAAAUAGCAUAAAUACAAACAAUAUGAUAUGCGAUGCUAAAAUAAAAUCAUAAAGUUAAUAACAAGAAAUAAAUGGCAAAAAAAUAAAGAGCAUAAGAUAAAUGGCAUUAAAGUAAAUUUAAUAUAAUAAUAUGUUAGUAAGUUGUGUUAGUAAUAAAAAAUUGAAAGAUAAUUUAUCAUUUUUGGGAGAAUACUCAACUAUUCGCCCACAAGUAUGAAAAUGUGGACCUCUACAUCACCAUGAGAAAGACUCCAACUUGGAUAAAAUCAAUAAGUAUGCCACUAGUUUUAUUAGGUGAAAAGGAAACAAUAUUUUUCACACAAUACCAUGGGGAGUAGGAGACUUACAAUCUCACUUAUGAAAAUGACUUACUUUCGGAUUCAGGAUAAAUUUAACGUUAUGUUAAGCAAUCGUAAUUGGACUCAUGUUGAAGUCACAACUAUCUGAGCCCGGUCAAUAAUAAUAUUUAUGUUAAUACAUGCUAGAGAAAUUAUAUGUAAAUCAUUCUCCUAAAGAUAUGCCACACAAAAAAAGGAUGGAUCAAGCACAAAUGUUAAGAGAGUUGUUCAUUACAUCAAUCAAUACUUCAUGAUACUUAGGACAAGCUUAUGCAUCAAUCUAAAGUACCUUAAAUAUUCUAUGAUCAAUUAGGAGGUAGAUUUGAAGUGAUGAAAGUUCAUCAAGUACCAAUUCAUACAUCAUAAACAAGAUGAACACAAACCAUCCAAUUGAUCAAGAGAAAAAAGGAAGCGAAAGAGAUUAAGAAGAAGAAGAAGACGAGAGAAACCAAACUCAAAUUGGAUCAAAGGAUUGAUCAAGUCAUCAUCAAAAUCAAUCAUCCAUCUUGGUAGAUUUGGGUUUUCACCCCAUCAACACCGAAGAUCCAUUGAAUUUGAUGAGAUUUAUGAUCAAAAUAGCCAAGAUCCAAGGUCAACAGAAGUCAACAAAGGUCAAACAAGCAUAAAAUGAAAGAAAAUAAAAUAAAAUGCAUCAAAAAUAUUUUUUAAAUGAAUUUUAAAAGGCAAAUAAAACAAAAAAUUCCAUAAAACCCUUUAAAAUACCAAAUAAAUGGCCAAGAAAAUUAUGGAAGGUUGAAGAUAAAAUAAGGAACAUAAAAUAAAUUUUUCAAAUAUUUUUAAUGCAUAAAAGUAUUUUUAAACUAAUUAAAAAAAGGGGAAAAAGAGGAAAUCCAAGAAAAUAAAAUAUGGAAAAAUAAAAAUCAGAUGAAGAAAAAAAAAAGAAAAUUUUAGAAAAUAUUUUGGGAUUUUUUGGAUAAAAAAUGAAUUUUCUAUAAAUUUUUAAAGAAAAUGCAAUUUAAAAUAAAAAAUAAAAAGAAAUAAAAAACAGAAAAAAAUAGAGGCAUUGGAUCUGACCUCAUUAAUUGACGUGGCAAAUCCAACAACUAUCAGGCUAGGGCGCAUGGUGGAAAAUAGUUAGAAUAAAACAUGGAAUCACAUUCAAAAUGGACCAAUCAAAACAUUUCAAAAUGCCAACGUGGAUAGCCAACUCAGAUGGCCUGAAACAAAUCCAUUCAUCUUCUUCGGUAAUCCCUCAUCGGAGUUUCAUCAUUUGACAAAGUAAGAACAUGAGACUACCACCAAUGUGAUCGUCUCCUCAUCACGAAUUCAACCUAAUGCUCAAAAUUAAUUUAUCUAAAUUGAGUAUGGAGAAUUUCAGAGAAGUUUUAGAAACAAGCAAGUCACAAAAAGUAAAAUUAAAUGAUGAACAUUAUCACUCAACACCAGAUAAGUUAGGGGAAAGCAUAAGAGGGUGAAGGACUACAUUGUGGUAACUCGUUUGAGUUCAAAUGAUGCUCAAAACUACCUUGUCCAAAUGUAGAUCGGAGGUUGAAGAAGCUUGAUCUGGUCAGGGCACUUCAGAAGGUCUUACAGAUUGAGAAUUAUUGCAAAAUCUUCAUAGGAGACUGAAAGUUUUAAUUGAAUCAAGAAAUUGAACUGAAACAAGCUAGAAAUCAAACACGAUAGCUCAAUUUUCUAGAAAUGUUUAAUAGUGGAGCAGGGGUUUUUUAGCUCUCCAAAGCUUGGGAAUAAGGCAAAUAUAUUGCUCUAUUUAUAGGGAAGUGAUUGGUGAUCUCAUACGUGCCAAAUGAUGCUUAAUUCGUGCAAAACAAAUUUGCUCAUGAUGUGAGAAAAGUGUGACUUGUAAAACCAUCAAAACUCAGCCAAAUUAUGCAUUAAAUGAUUCAUUUAACUUUUGAAGACUUGAUUAAUCAUGUUUAGGUCCAAAACGUGUGGUAAAUUGGCUUGUAAUUAAGGAUUAGUGAAGUUCAAAAUUCUGAACAUGGUGAUUUCUUCAGUUCCAAGUUACCAUGUUUAAUUCAAUGGGGCAUCUUGCCUAGGAGGCUUUUUGAUCUCAUUUUUCUUGCAAUUUUUGGACAUCAUAUCAAAGAUUACAAUGUGCCAAGAAAGGUUGCAUUUGGAUGCUUGAGCAGAAGUUUAUGGCAUGUUAAAGUUGGCACAAAAAUUUGGUUAUGCAACUUGGAAAAUUCUAAGUCCCAGAUGGCUAAAAAUGACCCAUAAUGUCUCAAAGAAUUCCAUGGUCUUCCAAGCAUAAUUUGACUUUGAUCCUUGAAGAAAACUUGUAGAGGGCAUCACAAAUGAUAUUAUUCAAAAAGAAUCAGCGUCAAAUGUUGGAAAUUGAAGAAGUUAUAAUCCUUGAAAGUUGAGAAAAAGUCACUUGAAAAUAGGUCAAAUUUCACUAGGUCCACAAAUGACCUAUAAUGUCUUCAAACUUUUGAUGAUCCUCCAUGCAUAAUUGGAUCUUGUAAUGUAAAGAGAAGUUAUAGAGGAUAUUUAGAAGAGUCAUAUGCAAAAAGAAACAUUCAAAAAUAUUGAGGAUUGAAGGAAUUGUGAACCUUGGAACUUUGACUUCAAAUGUUGAAUUUUUGGUCAAACCUCUUGGAAUAAACUUGUGUACUUGGACUUUUAUUGCAUUUCAAGGUACAUGGAUGAUCAUAUGAACUAAAAAUAAGGUGUCCUUAAAUUUAUUUUUAUUAAAUUUCUUAAAGUUUGAGGUAACAUAUUGAAGAAGGCAUGGAAAUAAACACAUGAACCUUUGCCUUUUCUUGAGACCGAUUAUCCACUUUUGUGUAACCGAUUACAAGCGCAAUAUUUUGAUUUUUCCUGCUAUUUUACUUGGUCAAUUCAGUUCCCAAUUGUGUUGUAUCUCUUGUAUAAGUGUUUAGAAUGCACACUCAUCUAAGGUUAAUGCAAUAAUAAUCUCUCACCCUUAAUUCUCCUCUUUCACACUCUACAUCCAAAGUAUCUCCACCAUUGUUCAUCAAACUUGUUGUGUCUUGUUCCAACAUUUGACAUCAAGAGUCUGGUUCAGAUCCACAAACACCUAGUGUGCAACAUGAAUUAUGUUUCCAAUGAAAGAAUCCCUGCAAACCUACAUAUCCUUGAUGCGAAGAAUUAUGAUAAAUGGUGCAAGAAAAUGAAGAUGUUGUUUGGCUACCAAAAUGUUCUUAAAGUAAUCAAGAAUGGUGUUAGCCCUCUUGUUCAAAAUGCAACAGAGGUGCAAAAAGAAACACAUAAGAAAGAGAAGAAGAAAUACUUCAAAGUGUUAUUCUUGAUCCAUCAAUGUGUUGAUGGCGACAAUUUUAAGAAAGUUGGUGAUUGCGAAUCGUCAAAGCAAGUGUGAGAGAUCUUAGAAAAGACAUGUGGAUGGGUUGACAAGGAAAAGGUGGCGAGGUUACAAACUUACAAACACCAGUUUGAAUUGAUUCAAAUGGAGGAAAAGGAGACAAUAAACUAUUUUGCAAUGAGAAUCACCCGGUUGGUGAAUCAAGUGAAGGCAUGCAAAGAAACUGUUACAAAGCAGUAUGUUGUCGCUAAAUCUUGCAUUCUUUAACACUAAGAUUUGACAAUAUAGUUGUGGCGAUUGAGGAGUCAAAGGAUCUCACGAUGAUGAGUAAAGAGAAGCUGCAAAGUUCUCUCGAGGCUCAUGAUAAAAGGAUGGAAGAGAGGAAUAACGUUAAGGCAAAGGCGGAGAUCGCUUUGCAAGCUCGUUUCAAUGAGAAGGACAAGAGAUCGAAAGGAAAAUGGCCCAAGAAAAGAAAAGGGAAUUUUCAUAAUUUUGGUGGAAGAGAGUCCUAAAAUUCAAAUAAUUUUACUUGUCAAAGGGGUGAGAGCAUCUUCAACAAACAUGGUGGUCAAGGCAACUUUAGAGGUAGAAGGAAGAGGUUUGACAAGAGCAAGGAGUAGUGCUAUAAGUAUCAAUGGUUUGGCCAGUUUGCAAAAGAAUGCAAUUUGAACAAGAAGGAAUCUCAAGGGGAUGAAGCCAAGGUUGCAAGAUAAGAGUUUGAUAAAGAGAAUACAUUUUUGGUCAUGAUCAAAGAAGGGAAUUGUAGCAGCAAACAACUGCGGGACAACAACUACAACAACUCAACGAAUGCUGAAUAGGUUGGUUGAAUGAUACGAUUAACCAAUUGCAUGAAGAGGAAGACGCCAUGAUGAGUUUGAAAGGAGUUCAAUGCAGUGAGGAGUGGUAUUUGGACUUGGUUUGUUCAACUCAUAUAACGGGAAUAAAGGAUUGGUGUGCCAAAAUCAAUUGUGCCAUGAAGAACAAAGUAAAGUUCGCGGAUGACACCACUCUAAUAUUCAAUGGGAUCAGUGAUGUUUUAAUCAUGAGAAGGGAUAAUGGACAUUCCUUGACCAUAAAUUCUUGUACAUUUAGGGAAUCAAAUGUAACCUUCUGAGUAUUGGCCAAUUUCUUGAGAAGGGUUAUAAGAUUCACAUGGAAGACAAGGGGUUGCGGGUUAUGGAUGUAAGAUGAGUCUUGGUCCUUAAAGCGCAUAUGGAUGCCAAUAAAACCUUUAAGGUUGAGUUGAAGGUUAUAGAGCAUAAAUAUCUUGCUACUGUAACAAGUAGACAAUAUUGGAUUUGGCACUAUCGUCUUAGGUAUCUCAACUUUAGAGAUUUCAAAGACUUUCAAAAGAACAGAAUGGUAACGGGGCUGCCAUCGAUCAACAUACUAGCUGAAAUUUAUGAAGAAUGUAUGCAAGCGAAGCAACAUAUGGGAAAAUUAAGAAAGUAGAUUCUAUUGGUGGCAAUAUGUAUUUUUUCACAUUUAUCGAUGAUCAUAGUACGAAGCUAUGGACAUACCUAAUCAAGAGAAAUGACGAUGUAUUUGAUGAUUGUUUGUCAUUGCAUAUAUUUAAUCGAAGAAUCAAAGAAAAAUAAGUGAAAUUUGAGAUAAAAUGAAGAAGAAUGAGGAAAAAAUAGCUAAGUGUGAAAAUUGUGGACUUAUUGAAAAUUUGAGUGAAAAGGGGAGCAAAACCGUGCAACCACGGGAAUAAUCACGCGCACCAUCACAUAGCAUCGUGCACGCGAUGGGGUCUUUAAAGCAGCAUUACACGCGCGAUACAAGGAAUCACGCGCGUGAUAAGUACUUUUUAUGGGCUUUUUAGACACGUUCUAGUCCAUUCUAACGCCUUUAAAAGAGGAUUUUCUGCACUUUCACAAGGGUUACAAAAUUGGGAGAUCUAGGCACGAUUUUGAGAGCACAAGUGGUGAUUUUUAUAGCAUUGGAAGCUAUUGGAGGCCAUUACUUCAACGUAUUUCACAUGUUAUUUUCAUCUAUCAAUUAUGGCAUUUUUAAUUGCAUUAUGAGUAGCUAAGCUCUUUUAUAUUAGGUUGUGUUAUGAUGAACCUAUUUCUAUAUUGUUGGAAUCUAUGUUGAUUUAACCAUUCUAAGAACCGUUUGAACUAUAAUUCCAUUCAAUUGCUUUUUGUUCAUAAUUCCUUUUAUGUGAGAUACUCUUUUAAUCUGAUUUUGGGCACAUAGGGAAUAUUGACUAUUAGUCUAUGUGUUGGACCUAGGGAAAUUGUUGUACUUACGCUGGUUGAAUAGGAAUAGGAGACCCUGAGUAGUGGCAUAGAGAAUUAAUGUUUUAUACAUCACCUAACCUUGCUUACGCUGGCAGACUAGGGAUAGAAAGCUCUGAGUAGUGGUUAGUGAGUUAUUUCGCGAGGGAUCAGCUAUAACGGUUUUGUUAAUUCGAUGUGGUGUUAUAGUGAUAAGACCAUUCGUAAAAGAUAUAAAACAUCAACAAUAGAGGAAUAGGGGAUUCUAGAACACAAUAUGCUCGUUUUCGUGAUAUUGUUUAAUUGUUUAUUUACUUUUCGCACUGAAACUCGAAAACCCCCCUUUUUACUAGUUUUCUAUAAAUUGCACACAUUUUGUCUUGCCUGAAGGAAAUUCAUGUGGAUUCGAUCUUUUUAUUACUUCGACAAUAUCAAUACACUUAUCGAGAAAUCAUUAAGUUUUUGGCGUCGUUGCCAGGGACUGUUGAUUUUUCAACAAGGCGAUGUUUGUGCAAUUUUUAUUUUUAUUUUUUUAGUCUUUUAGUUUUUUUUUUCUUUUUCUUGUUUAUCAUAGUGCUAUUGAGGUAUUUUUUGUUUGUGUAUGCACAAUUUAGGAUCAACAUUAAUACCAUUGGUUCUAGAAAUUGAAAGAACUACACGUGCUCUCAGAAAAGCAGUUAGAGAAGCAGCUCUGAAAGGAGGAAUACUAGAAGAAGAGCAACUAUCAAAUUCUUCUGACUCUGAAGAAGAAGCUGUAAUGGAAGCUGCACAACCCCUAACUAUGGGGCAUUAUUAUAAAUUAACCGAUGAAGGACACUUAUCAAGAGGGUUUGUGCUGGUAGACCCUGCUAACUUUGAUAUUAAAAAUUAUGUGCUUUAAGGUUUGAGAGAAAAUUCGUUUGAUGGGAACACGAUUAGAGACCCAUGGGUGCAUCUUACACACUUUUAUGAAAUAACUUAAAUGUGCAAACCAACUGAUGCCACUGAAGAGCAGGUUAAAUUGAGGUUGUUUGGGUUCUCACUAAUUGGAAGGGAGAAAGAUUGGUUACUUUGCCUUCCGAAUAAAACGAUACAUACUUGGAAGGAAUUAAAGGAUAAAUUCCUCGAAAUAUUUUUCAUUACUACUCAGUUUACCGAGCGCUAAGCAGAAAUUGUGAAUUUUGUGCAGCAGGAAACUGAGUCACUUUAUGACUCUUGAGAAAGAUUCAAAUUUUUGUUACGCAGAUGCCUGAAUCACAACAUGAAUAAUAUGGUGCAGAUGUAAAACUUCAUUAAAGGUCUCAAGAGUCAAACUCACAUGUUAUUGGAUGCUUCUACGAGAGGUACUAUCUGAAAAAUGAAUGAACCACGGGUAAAAGAUCUCAUUAAGAAGAUGUGUAUGAAGGAGUACCGAUCCAAGAAUGAAAGGUCGGUCAAGAUGGGAAUUGUGGGCACGCCUAAAGGUAUGUUACCUAUUGAUACCCACACUGCUCUUUUAGCUCAGAUUGAAUUAUUAAAUAAAAAUCUAGUUGGAAGCAGCUUAGUUAAAGCUAAUGUAGGCUAGGUACAAGCACUUGGGUGCGAUUUAUGUAGAAGAGAACAUGCGAAUGAAAGGUGUUCAUUGGAAGAGACAAGUGAGGAGGUCCAAUUUGCUAAUUUUUUAAAAAAUAACUUGUAUUCAAACACAUACAAUCUGGGUUGAAAAGACCAUCCAAAAUUCCGUUGGAAUAAUAAUCAAAAUUCAAAUGCUAACUAAGGGAUGCAACAAAGUCAACAAGCUCUGUUUCAAAGGAAUCCCAUCACAGUUGGUAGAGACCUCACAAAAUUUCAUUAAGGUCACUCAAAGUAGAUUUGAUAGGGUAAAGAAGACCCAUGAAUAAAUGAGUAGAAACUAGGAUGCGUCUAUCAAAAUUUUGGAGAUGAAGAUUGGUUAAUUAUCUAGAAAAGUAGCUACUUUGUCAAGCUCAAGUGGAGGAUUCACCAGUAACACCGUUGAUAACCAUAAGAAUGAUAACCCUAAAUAUAGGUUUAAGGGCAAUUACUGAAAAGGAUAAGGAUGAGAUAGUUAAACAAUGUGUGGUUAAGGCAUAUGAGGGUACCUGUAGCACCUCAAAUUUGCACCCCCCAUUCAUGCAUUCAUUUCAUUUUUUAGGUCAUUUAUCAUUCCAUAUUGCAUUGCAUUUUGGCAGUCAGCAUUGGCAUCAAGAGAUUCAUCAGUACAAAAGAGAAAGUUUUUUCUUGAGAUGAAGGCCAAAUGAUUAUACUAAAGAGCUUAUAUGAGCCCAGGUUCAUUUUGAAGCAAAGUUACCAAGUGGUAGAGGCCCAAACUCAUCAGUGCACUUCCAGGUCAUCUGAGGCCCAUACAAGUCAACUAUGCAGUCAACUAAGGGCUUUGAGUUGGGGAAAUGGUUUGAGACACUUCAUUCAUGUCCAAAAGAGGCUUUUUCAUCAUGUCAAACAUCUACCUUGAAGAUUUUGAAGUCAAAUCAAAAGUUUCCAAAAAUGGAAAGUGACCUGUAAUUCAAAGUUUCCAAAAAUGGCAAGUUUUUAGACCACAUUCAACUUGACUUUCCAACAUCAAAUAAGCUUCAAAUGAAUUUUUGGUCAACAUGAAAGUUGAAGAUAUUUCUCUCCUAUUUCCAAAAAGUCCAAGAGUAUGAGUAUCUGAUGAAUGGUUGAGAAGUUAUGAACAAAUGAUUGCAAAGUAUGCAUGGAACUUCAAAGUGCCAUAACUUUUGAUCCAAAACUCCAAAUUGAGCCACUCUUUUUGCAAAAUGCUUGUAUUGACCAAUAUUUUCCAAAUCAAACAUUGCAUUGCAUGAAAUUAACUCACAUGAUCAUUUGUCCAUGCAUGUAUAUUUUGGAGGGAAAAUGGAUAAUUCAAAUUCUAUUGAUCAUACAUGAAAAAUUCCUAUGCCAUUGUGAUCUUUGGAUGAUUUUAAGUGACUUUUAACCAUGCAUGUGCACUGUUCACGUGUAAAAUCUCCAUGCACCACACAUUUACCAUUUUUGCAUUACACCUCAUUUCUCAUUAAGUUUCCAUUAGCCAAGCCUAAUUGUGAUUAGCAUGAUAAUUAACAUGUGAUAUAAAUAGAUAAUCCUAACUGAAUUGGAUGAGAUUACACAUUCUAGAUCUAGAAAUUGGAUUUCCCUCCAAAAAUUCUCUCAAUUCAAACAUCAAAUUUCUACACAUAACUCAUGAAUUUUCUUGCAUAAUUGUGUUCAUCUUGCAUCAUUGAGUAAGAAUCAAGGCCUGGACUGAAGGAUUUGGUGCAGAGUCGAGCUCCACGAAUGCAUGAAAAUGAAGAAGGUUUUCUGAAUUUGAGCUUCAUUUAGGUAGUUUCAAUUGCUAUUCCUUCCAUAAAGCUUCACCUCAAGGUUGAUAGAGGAGACCUGGAGCUGGAGGAGGCUUGAAUCCACGAAAUCAUCGCACUGUUCUUCAAGAAGGUUAAAAUUUGAAUCUCAUUAUUUGCCAUUUUAUGCACAUGAUCUUGUAGGUCGUGCUCCACUGAUGAUUCUGAUAUGAAUAUUAUUGAUUUUGGCUGGAUAUUGAGUGAGUUAUGAUGAAUUAAAGUUUGUAUGCUAAAUUUGUUCUUGCUCGAUCCAUGAGAUAUGUGAUGAUUUAGAGUGAAUUAGGCAUGGAUUUGGAAUGUACGUUAUGCAAGCUUUCGAUCCAUAUCAUUUUUGCAUGAUUCUAGAAUUUUUUUGAUGCACCUUCAUCGGCGUACCACCGGAGAAGAUGACCGAAAGUACUAUUCCGGUCAUCUGGUUCAUGAGCUAGGGUUUUAAUGUGCGCACCUGUAACCAUGCAAGCCCCAGUUCGAUCCUUGGCAACUGUUAUUUUAAAAUCCAUUUAUUUUCUCCCUAUGAUCCAAACGUUGCGUUUUGCUCUAGCGCCCUUGUGAACAAGCCUUGCCUCUGUUCGAUUCUUGGCCUGGCAAUUAUCCCAAUUGAUUUUAUUGAGCGCGCCUAUGACCCUAUAGUCCUCAGUUCGAUUCAGGCGCUUUGCAUUUUUUCUUUUAUUUUCAAUUGAAGCGCUGCCUUGGACCUUUGUGUCCUGAGUUCAAUCCCUGACCAAGUAUUUUUCAUCUUUUAAUUCACAUUUCAUUUUUUCACAUGAUUGUUGUGAUGUCUAUUAUUUUUUGAUGUGAUUUUCCUAAUUUUUGUAUUUCUGGAAUUUUAAAUGUGUUUGUGUGAUUGAACAUGAUGCAAAUAUGACAUGUUAUGCUAAAUGUUUUAUGAAAUGCUCAUAUUUUAUCCAAUUGCCUUGAAAUUUGACAUGCUUGAUCUAUACAUGUGACAUGAUUUUUGAGCUUUUGUUUGGCAUUUUUAGCACAUUCCAUCACUGUUUGGGACACAUGAACAUAUGAUGUAGCAUUUGGUGUCACAUUCUUGACCUUGCUUGUGUUCAUUUUCAUUUGCAUGUCAUUUGAUAUCUUCUGGACCUAAUUCUUUGCAUGAUGCUUGUGUUUAAAAUUUUGAUCUCACAUAAAAAAUUUCAUGAUCAUUGGAUGCAUUUCUGUUUUAAUGUGGAUUUUCUACCUUUUUCUUGCCUUGUGUAGAUGAUGAAUAAGCACCACUGUUGAUUGACUGUUUGGUUUGUCUGAAUGUGAUAUUGACUGUUUGACUUUUGUACAGGUACAUUAGUCGCUUUUAGCUCUCGCUUGAGCUUUGCUUUGGUUGUGGUUGAUAUACCACCUAGGUAAUCACUCUAACUCCAUGUAGUCUGGAAGCCCUGUCGUUUCUUUUGGCAUGCAUUUGGUUGAAGUCCUCCUUAAGAGGCAAUGACUGUGUUUAUUUAUAUUUAUGCCAAAGACCUCCUUGUCGAGGCAUGUUACUUGUUAAGUCCUCCUAAGUGAAGAGGCAAUUGACAGAUGGAAAGGAUUAGCAAUCAAUCCCCUGUUAUUCGUUGAAUCGUUCAUUAUGCUCGCACUAUAUGCUGAUGCUCUUGAACCUAACCCAAGAUCCUUGUAUAUAGAGUCAGUCAAGUGGAAUAGGGUCCCUCUUUCUGGAUCCCCAGGUUUUCAUUGAUUUGAGCUCACCCAGGCCAGGGUUAAGAGCAUGAGGUCUUAUCCUCAUUACCUUUCAUCAGCUUCACCCUAACUCUCAAUGUUAGUGGUUAAGAGCUUCAGCACACCCCUACAGUUUUGGCUUGUUUGUCGAGGUUGAUAUGACCCCUUGACUAAAGCCUUACCCUCAGAUGUUUGAGCCCCUUGUUGGCGUGUUUACUUCAUGUAUAUGUUUUUGUGUGGUGUGAUUGUAUCCCCAUAGGAUUGCUAGACUUCGUAUAGUCUCUCGUUUGCAUGUCAAUUAAGGUAGCAUGGUUCCUUCGUCUAGGACUUCCUUUCUUGCGUGAGCAUUCCUAAAACACAAACAAACUUUAUCUUCUCUUAAGGACACGUUGACUCCUUCUACUACAGGUGAGUAAGUCUCCAAAGGUCGAGCAUCCAUCUAGGACUUCCUUUCUUGCGUGAGCAUUCCUAAAACACAAACAAACUUUAUCUUCUCUUAAGGACACGUUGACUCCUUCUACUACAGGUGAGUAAGUCUCCAAAGGUCGAGCAUCCGGUAGAUUGCAUAGUAACGUUGUUCACCUAAAAAACACAACAAACAGAAAUAGUUUAGCCGAACUACGACAACUCUGAUUCUCAUGUUCAGAUGAGAUACGUAGGCAUGAGAUGCGAUGUCUUGUCGAGUUUGACUGACGACUAACAUUAAUCCUUGCUAGUUUUCAUCCUCGUUGCGAUUCUUUUCUCUCGCCCUCGUUGCGAUUGAGACCUUCCUUUUCUCUUGCCCUAGUUGCAAUCGAGACCCUUCUUCUUUUCGUGUGUGUUUGUUAGGAGUCGGAUAUAAGUCCAUCUAUUGGCAUUCUGUUUCCUGUUUGCGUGUGUGUUUGUUAGGAGUUGGAUGUAAGUCCAUUUAUUGGCAUUCUGUUUCCUUGUGUGUUUGUUCGGAGUCGGAUGUAAGUCCAUCUAUUGGCACUCUGUUUCCUGUUUGUAUUUCCUUGUUAGGAGUUGGAUGUAAGUCCAUUUAUUGGCAUUCCGUUUCCUUUGAGUGUUCUUUUGACGUCUCAGCGUCUCUUUUCAGUGUUUUGUUUCGGCGUGCGUUAGCCGAGCUACGAGUGCUCUGAUUCUUCCUCUGGUUAGAGAAGAUACGUAUGCAUAGGAUGCGAUGUCCUAGCGAGCACGUCUCCCAUUUCCCCGAACUACGUCGACUCUGAUGUUUGUUUCUGACAAACUACGUAGGCCCAGGAUGCGACAUCCUGCCGAGUCUGCUUUCUCCGUCUCCUCUUCCGCCUGUUUAUUAUUCCAUUGCGUGCAGUCUUUGAGCAGUUUUAUUAGCAACCUUAUUCUUUCCUUCUGAGCGUGGAUCCCAUCGAGUACGACGGACGUGAGGGGUGCUAAUACCUUCCCCUUGCGUAACCGACUCCCGUACCUAGCAAUCUUUGUUCGUAAGACCAUUCCUUUCCCUUUUUCAGGUUUACUUCGAGGGUUUCCUUUCCCUCCUUUGGGAUAAAUAACGCACGGUGGCGGCUCUGUGUCUUUUCCCGCCGGUUGUUUUUCGCGAUGCGACAGUACCAAUCAAGGUGACCAAGAGGAAAGAGGAGUCACCAUUGAUCAACUUAUAGACAAAAAUUCUCCUUGGAGGAGAACAAAGAGGCAUAUCUUGACUGAACCAAAUCCUCCUUUACCAGAUUACGUAAAACCACCGUAGCCGAUAAUUAAAAAGAAAUUGGUUCAAGAUGAUGAAGCGGGAAUGUUUGCAAAGUUCAAGGAAGUUCUAGCUACUCUCCAGGAAAGUAUUUCAUUCCAUGAAAUUUUAGAACUAAUGCCUAAGUUUGUUAAAUUUAUGAAGGCGUUUCUAAAUGGGACGGAAGAGAAAUGAAUCAAGGAACAUGUAAACAUGACCGAAAAUGAUGAUAUGGUAAAACCUCAAUCCUUACAACCUAAACUAAAAGACUCAGGUAAGUUUAUUAUUUCUUGUAAUAUCAGUGGAUUCAAUAUUCUGCAUGCUCUAUGUGAUCUGGGGUUUAACAUAAAUGUCAUGCCACUGAAAACUGUCAAAGAAUUAAAAAUGGGUGAGAUCACACUGAAUAACAUGACUCUCACUCUAGUUGAAUCGUCUAUUACUCAAUCGAUUGUUACUUUACGCAACAUAUUAGUAUCUGUGGACGACUUAUUGUUUCCUAUAGAUGUUGUAGUGCAUGAUACAAAAGGAGAUUAAGGAGGAUCUGUUAUUCUUGGACGUCCAUUCUUGGCAACCGAGAAAGCAAAGAUUGAUGUGGACACUGGUCAACUUAUCUUGAAGUCAAAUAAAAGGAAUGUGGUUUUCAAGGUAUUUGACUGGGCAUCUUAUGUGGAUAAUUUGGAUACUUUAUACCAUCCGGAGGAAAAAGGUAGAAAAGUAGACAAAGGAACAAUGAGAAAGGAAGUGACAGGCGUGAGGGUAUCCCUUGCACCUGACGUACCUUAGACAUGGAUUGUCAAGCUAGUUACGUAAAAAAAGCGUCUGAUGGGAGGCAACCCAUCCGUAAGAAAUUAUUUUUAUGUCAUAGUGAAUUUUUAUUUUUCUAACCUUGUUAAUUUUUGUGUUAUGUUGUUCGAAGAGAAAAUAGGUAAAAGAAGAAAAGAAAGAAAAAGAAAAAGGGAAGAAAAUAGAAAAAGAAAAGAGAUAGGAAAGUUUCAGCCCCUGGAAUCAUCACGCAUGAUAAUAUAAACUAGUUAUUUACAAUAAAUUUUUUUGAUAUUUAUUUAAAGAAGCACAAUUAAUAUAAAGACAAUAACACACCAAUCACACAUAAUAAUUUUAGAAUAAUUAUACUCUAAGAUUUUGAGAGUCGUGAUAUCUCCUCUUCUUAAAUGUUUAAGAAUUGGAUCUCUCUCACUAAUCUCUAUCCCCUUAUUUAUUUUAAGAAUAAACAUAUUGAAUUAAUAAAACAUAAUUGCACAUUUCUUAUAGCGAUUAUACAAACAACUAUCAAAGUUGAAAAAACUAAAGAGAGGUCAACUCAAUCUUUAUCAAAUUAAAUUAAAGUUUAUUUUAAAACACAAACAACUAGUUCAUUAAAAAGAUAACUUGUUUAGUACACAAAUGAGAUCUUACUUAAUACAUAGAAAUAAGAUCUUACAAAACAUAGAUAUUAAAAACAUAGGAACAACAUGAAAAGUUUUCAAAAUGACAUAGACAUUGAUUAACAAAGACAUGAAUUAGUUUCGGGUAUUUUUUAACCAUCCAUCAAGGUAAACUUGUUUGGAGUCAGGGGUGAAUUUUUCUUUCUCGGCUCGGAUAUCUUUCAACCAUCCAUCAAGGUAAACCUGAUUGUUGUCUGAGGUGGAUUUUGUUGUCUCGGCUCGGAUAUCUUUCAACCAUCCAUCAAGGUAAACUUGGUUGGAGUCAGAGGGCAAUUUUAUUUUUUCAGCUCGAGUGUCUUUCAACCAACCAUCAAGAUAAACUUGUUUGGAAUCAGAGGUGGAUUUUGUUUUCUCUGCUCGGGUAUCUUUCAACCAUCCAUCAAGGUAUACUUGGUUGGAGUCAGGGGUGGAUUUUGUUCUCUCAUUUCGAGUAUCUUUCAACCAUCCAUCAAGGUAAACUUGGUUGGAGUCAGACAUGGUUUCUGUUUGCUUAGCUCGAGUAUUUUUUAACCAUCCAUCAAGGUAAACUUGGUUGGAGUCAGGGGUAGAUUUUUCUUUCUCAGCUCGGGUAUCUUUUAACCAUCCAUCAAGGUAAACUUGUUUGGAGUCAGAGGUGGGUUUUGUUUUCUCUGCUCGGGUAUCUUUCAACCAUCCAUCAAGGUAAACUUGAUUGGAGUUAGGCAUGGACUUUUCUUUCUCGGCUCUGGUAUCUUUCAACCAUCCAUCAAGGUAAACUUGGUUGGAUUCAGAGGUGGAUUUUGCUUUCUUUGCUCUGGUAUCUUUCAACCAUCCAUCAAGGUAAACUUGGUUGGAGUUAGGUAUUGACUUUUCUUUCUCAGCUCUGAUAUCUUUCAACCAUCCAUCAAGAUAAACUUGGUUGGUGUCACCUGUAGAUUUUGCUUUCUCAUCUCGAGUAUCUUUCAACCAUCCAUCAAGAUAAACUUGGUUGGAUUCAGAGGUGUCUUUUGCUUUCUUUGCUCUGGUAUCUUUCAACCAUCCAUCAAGAUAAACUUGAUCAGAGUCUUGGGAGGAUUUGGUUUUCUCUGCUCGUGUAUCUUUCAACCAUCCAUCAAGAUAAACUUGGUUAGAAUUAGCAAUUUGUUUUUGACUCUUCAAUGGAUUUUUGAGCCAACCAUCAAGGUAAGGUUGAUCAGCUUGUAUUUCUUCUACAUUCUCUUGCUGAAGUUUGAUAUAUCGGGCAAAGCUUCCUUGUCCAUUCUACGAUACAAUUGAAUAAAUGGAUAUUAGUGAGUUAUUUUUGGAUGGUAUAUAUGACUAUAAAAACAAAAUUAUGUGUUUUAUG
rnacentral:lncRNA from 1 species